UAAGUCGCCCUUUCUGUGUAGUCGCUGUUUGCGGGGAGCGACUGGUGUUCUGUUUGAGCAAUUGACAGUAAUUAGUAAAGUACUUUGUACUGAGAGUAGCACAAUCUAUCGCCCCCGUGUUCGGAUGAUAUUUUGGAAGAUCCUUAUCGCUGUCAUCUGUUUUGAAUUUUUGAGCUUGAAGACCAUGUUUUGUUGCUUUUCUGUUGACAAUGUCCACUGGUGAAUGUGUCUAUGUGCGCUCCAGUUUGCAGUAUCAUUGUGUUAACUUUGUACCCAUCUGUUGCUUAGCAACAUAUAAUUCUGUAGGGCAUUUAAACUUGUUAAAUGCAACUUGAUUCUGAGAAAUGCUAAUGAACUGUGAUGAACUAGACCGCCCUCUCAAACUUCAUAAUGAACUGUGAUGAACUAGACCGCCCUCUCAAACUUCACUUCAAAUUUGUGGAUUUAAGUUUCUAUGUGCCGAUUCCUUUCAUUAAACUUGUGCUGUUCUCUUUGCUAUUUCUCCUAACCAUUUCCAUACAUGAAGCUUGUCUCGUAUGUUUUACAAACAAUUUAAACUUUUGAAUGACAUGUAAAUCAUUGGGCUGACAUUUUAAAUACAUAAAAUUGAAUAACAUUCAAAUACAAACCACCUGCCAGUUCAAAGAAAAUCAUCAGCUAGCGUCAAAAGUCACCACGUGCGUUCAUCAAAAGCCACCCGAUCCCACAUAGCACCUCACCGCCACUACAACCAGGGUACACAGAGGGUGGCAACCGGCGAUCCAACAUCUUGUCCAUGAGUGAUCUUCAAUACUCCCUCCAUUCCAAAAUAUAGUGCGCCCACGCUUCCCGAGGUCCAACUUUGACCAUAAAUUUAACCAACGAGACCAACUGCGGCGGGAGAAAAAACGAUAUAAUUGAAAACUUCUUUUGAAUACGAAUUCACUGAUAUAAUUUUUACUCCCGCCGCAAUCGGUCCUGGUAGUUAAAUUUGCGGUCAAAAUUGAAGCACGAGGAUAGAGGAAGUACUAUAUUGUGGAAUGGAGGGAGUAUAUCCUUUGCUCUUGCUCUUUCCAUUUCCACUUCGGCCUUGAUAGGGCCAACCCUCAGGAUCCUAGCAGAGGGAAGCGACCUGACUUUUGUGUCUGCUCGACUGAUGAGUCUAGCAUAGCAGUCAAGCCCCUUUCCACCUUUGCACUCGAGGACCAAUGUGUGUCAGGCAUGAGGAAACGUUUGAAUGCCUCUGUUCCCUUUUGGGAGGCCUACUUAAUUUGAAAGCCAUAUUUCCACGAAAAAGUUAAAUGAAGAGAGUCGACUAUUCAGAGGCAAGCCUAUGCUCCUCUGCACAUGCGUUCCUCUCAACCUUCAUCAAGCCGCGCGUGUCUUCCAUGUUCACUGCACCCUCAAUCUUUUUGAGUUCCAUCCACCUCAACGUCUUCUCAUGAUUUGUGCUCAGCUGAUAAUUUCUCCUUUGUCCCGAUUAUUGCAUUGAGUUCUUUAUUACUCCCUCCAUAACGUAAUAUAAAACGUUUUUUACACCGGCAUGGACUCUAAAAAUGUCUUAUAAAAUGUUAUAGAGGGAGUAUAUGCACACGCUCCACCAUUUUUCUUGCUCUCUCUCAUCCGUGCGAGAUCUAGGAGUGAGGCUUCUCCUCAAAAAAAAACACAUCACCUUCAUCUUCAAUAUCUAUGGAGUCGGAGAUGCUCAAUCUUGACCUCCUUGAUGUUGUUUCAGUUUUCUCGCCCACUUCUCAUUUUGCCUUGAGCUUUAUGAAACAAUGGGCAGAGUGAAUGCCUUGUUCCUAUUUCUUUUGUUCAUAUGCUUGUAUAGCUUUUGGGUGUAGAUGUCAUACUCAUUAAGUGGCACUUGUUUGACUCAACCUAACCACCGUUUGCAACAAUCUUGGAUGACAUUCACUUCCAAAAGGGAGAAUAUUGUGGGCGAGAGAGUAUUUUGUCCGGUUCGAGUGAGUGGGACAUGGCGUACAUAGUAUUCCUCAACUCUCUUCCAAAAGGUUUCCUUAGUUUGAUCAGCACCGACCGUGGUGUCAAGAGCUAUGUUCAACCAAGAAUAUAAGAAAGCUUCAUCUUCAUUGACACCAGUUCACUGAUCAUGUUAGCCUCUUGUUGCUGAUAUGGACCGAUCUCCUCCACUCACUUGCACUUGACACUUCGCGGCAUUCAUCCUCCAUCGAGCCUUAUAAUGUGUUUUGAAUCAUCCAACGUUGACAUGAAGGCCCACAAGCCAUUGGGUUCGGUUCCCCACUACAAUAGAGACGUGCGAAAUCUCAUCACCUAUAAUUGAACAUCGAAGCUGGGGGGUGGGGGGAGGGAGAGUGAACAUUGAGCGGCGGCAACUGGAGGCGGUUGAGUGGGAAAUGUCUAGGCGCCAAAAUUUUGCUCUUUGGGCAGCAGAAUAGUGGAAGGGCUAAGUGAUGUCAACACCCUAAAAAAUAUACCACUCACUCCAAUCCAUAUUAAUGUCGCCGAUUUAGUACACGCAUGCCCUAAAUUAGCAACUUAAUAUGGAUUGAAGCGAGUAGUAUUUUUUUAGCAGAAAAUGCUCAAUUUGAGAGUGAACUCAAAAUUUAGGGAGUUAAAAUCCUUUUUUAGAGAGUGAGUUAAAAAACUUAGGAGGAUGGCCGGGUGGUUUUCACUCUAAAAAAGCAGCUUCCUGGCAAUGAAAACUAUUUAAUGAAAAAACUAGCACAUCCUCUGCACGACCGACCCCUAGCGUCCCCGUUGAAUUAAUCGUGAAAAUGCAACCGGCACAAACUGCAACCAUCUGUGUAAACACGCCAAUACGCCACAUUCAUCCGAUGAAUGCUUUCAAGUUCAUGUUCAUGAAUUACACCUGCAGCUCACCGACUCUUCACAGGAUCUCGCCGCAGUGCCUAUUGUCUGUAUGUACUAGUACUGUAUCAGCUUUUGCCUCCCUAACAAUACCCUCAUGCACAGCACAAACACUGCUCUCCUCGCCACCAUGCCGCCAAUAAGGCCGAGUCACUAUCUCAGACUGACCCAAUCGCCCCCACAACUCAACUCAGUAGGAAAACUAUCCUACACCAGCAUAACACGUUAACGACACCCGCUCUUCAAAUGGAGCGUACCGAUUUCGGUCACAAAAUCGGGCCUGCGACCCGCCUCCCAUCAGUCGAGCUUUGCCCGCCUGCAUGCGUUCGGCGACGUUUCUGCUUCUCACGCGAUCGACUGGUAGCGGGCCCUAGGAAUCCGUGAAUCGCCAUCUCGUAUGGAUAUACUAAGAGCAUCAGCGCCGGGGCCUCCAGCACCUUUGCUUGGUUGUAGAGGCGCCAUCAUUCUUCGGGGAUUUGCAUUUGCAUUUGGUUUCUUGGGCGUGCCGAGUUUCACAAAGAACGUGGCGCUACAUCCCUUCCCUACACCUUCACUGUCGAGCCAGAUGUUCCCUUGCAUCAGGCCAACAAAUCUGAUGGAACCAGAGAGUGUAGAGACAUCGGUCAGCACAGAGAUCAGAGAGUUUCAGGGGGGAAAAAGGAAUGUGCAGAAAUGCCCUCUUGAUAUACCUUCUGGAGAGGGCCAGACCCAACCCGUUGCCGUUGUGCAAUUUCGUUGUUGCAUUCUCACCGUGUGCGAAUUUUCUGAAGGUGUGAGCCAUAUCCUCUGGUCCGAUUCCACAGCCGGUGUCUUUUACCUACAGGAGAAUAUGACAUCAGAACUUCUGCUAACAUUAAGUUAUUAGCCCUACCACUUGUCCCCUGUUUUUGCUCCUUAAUUAGUUUGUACGUCUUCUAUGGGCAGCCACAAGCGAUCUAAAAUAAUCUUUAUGGUAUGUUUACCAAUUACUGUAGAAAAUGCAAAUCAUUCUUUUUCUCUUCAGGUUAUCUAUCACUUUGAAGACCUCAAUCGAGGUCUCUUUGGAAUGCUAAUGUCUACAUUUACGAGUACCACUGCAUUAACUUGGCGAGCAUUGGCAAGCAUCAUUAGAAAGUUAUGGUGUUAUGUAUUAUGCGUUUGUGGCAACUUUCGGCAUAUUGAGGAGUUAAGAGAAAAGGAGUGUAUGUUCAUAGGCAAACCUGAACAACCAAGUAGAAAGACCCAUCAGAGGGAACUGGAUGUAAGUUAGAAGCAUAUGGGUCCCUCAAUGAAUCUGGCCUGGCUAUGGAAGCUGCAAUUGAAAUGUGACCCUCCUUUGUGAACUUAAUGGAGUUGCCAGCAACAUUUAGCAUUAUCUGCAUCAAUCGCUUGCGAUCACCAAUUGCACAGGAAGGCAACUCUGGAGCCAAGGAAACCAUUACCGAGAGCCUUUUGCAUGCAGCCACUGGCUUAAUCAAAUUAACCACCUACAAGAUGAACUAGUGAGUUGACCUCAAAUCCAACUGUAUAUUUUCCCCUCCUUUUAGGCAACAUAGUAGCAAAGUCGAAAUAUUAAAACUGCUGUCAGGGCACUUACAUCCGUAAAGGCAGCAUGCAGGUUGAAAGGUGCAAUGUCCAGCUCAAGACUCCCAUUCCCAAGCUUGGAAAUAUCUAAAACAUCGUUGGUCAAAGUGACUAGAAAAUCGCUACUCUUUAGUAUAGUCUCAAUCAUCAGGCGUUGUUCAGCCGUAAGAGUUGUUUCCAGAAGGAGGGAGGAUAAAGAAACAAUGGCUUUCAUAGGAGUACGCAUUUCAUGGUUCAUCACAGCAAGAAAAUCAUUACGAGCACAUAUAGCCAUUUCUGCCUCUCGACGUGCUGCAUCAAGGGCAAUAUUCUGCUCCAUUAGUAGAUCACGGGCCCUCAUGGACUCUUCCAAAAUGGCAGCAUGAGACAGUGCAACUGCCACCUAAAAUAAGAAAAAUGAGCGAACGUGGUCAUGUUUUUUUUACAAUAUCUGCAGGCAUGAAGUGUAGUGCAGUCUACUUCAUAAAGAAAUAAUUAAAUGCAAAAUUAUCCAUCUAAGAGCAGCAUUAUAGGCUAAAUGCUAACAGAAAAUGCUAAACAUUAAGCAUUGAUAAUAAGACUUUAUAAUAGUUGUAGCCCAAGUAAACUGACAAAACGCUGAGAACAACUCAACGACAUACCACACAAAGUCACAAACACAAUGGAAUCAGAAGAAAAAAGCAUUAGUGCCAGGAAGAAACUAAUAACUAAACUUGGAGGAGGGCAUAUAGGAAGUGUAGCAUGAUACACAAUCAGGAACAACACUUAGCUGGUUAACCUGAAACAUUUCUUUAACAAGGAAACAAAAGUAUCAAUGAUGACGGCAUGCAUACUUCCAAUAAUUAAAUCAAGGAUGCAUACAAGUGCUGAAUGACUUUCACAGAGCUUGUCAGGAUAUAAACCAAUUACUCGCAAGCAAUAUCAUAUUAGGGAAAAGGAAGAUAGAUAGGGCAGAAGGGAAACUAAAAAAAAUAUGAUUUUCAAGAAAAAAUAGUUUCACACUUCAAACCAUAAUAAAAUGAUUUACUAGGUUAACUCAAUUCUCUUCAAAACUCUUAUUCACACACAAAGCAUACACAUUUAUGAUUUAUCCAUUGACUUGACUAAUAAGAAAACUCGCACAGAGCAGGCCAAAGAAAUAUACAAAUGCAGCCCUAUAGUAGGAUUCUAAAGCUGAUAAUAUCAGAGGCCAGACAUAGGUUACCAGACAACCACACCAGUGAUUACAGAUUACAUAUAUAAAAAAAUGAACAGAAAUAAAAUCAACAACUACCUGAUCAGCAACAACUUCAACAAGCUCUAGUUCAUGGGUACGCCAUUUUCUUGCACUGUCUGGAGGCAGCAUCAAAACCAUUACUGCGAAGCUUUUUGCAGAUAGCUCAGGCCAAUCAUUUAUUUCGAAAUUUGUAAGGUGCAGCAGUGGAACUCGGACAGCUACGACCUCUGGUGGCGCGUACCUGCUUGUGUCUGCCUUUAUUGAAGCCAAUGGGGAAGUAUGUGGAAUGCUUUCUGCACGAUUACUAUUAAAAACCUUUGAAACAACCGGAAGAUUUAUAGGAACAACUAAGCCAAUAGGAGCGCUGUUAUGGAUUGUAUGGGACAGGUGAAGGGCUGUUCCAGAGCGGGAUGGCAUCCACAGGGCACAUUCAGCUAACCCAAGAGUCCUUCCCAACUCAACAAGCGUAGUUCUCAAAAUAGUGUGCCUGUCAAGCGUGCUCCUUAUCUCAUGUGUGAGCAUGUGGACAUGUCUGCCUGUCUCCUCCUGUGUUCUUAUAAUCCCCAUCUCUUUGUCAAGCUCUUCAGCCUUAUCCUUCAGAUACCUCUCUCGCAACUUCACGCUCAACAAAUCAGGAAUUAUGUGCACAAGCAUCAAUGCCGUUAUGCAUGAAACCACUGCUGUCGCAGCUUUCGCCAUUGUCAUUACCACCGCUAUAGUCUUGCUAUAAGUGGCGAAAGUCCACAAGUUUAUCAGGUGAGUUGCCCCACAAAGCACAAUGAAGGCGCCAAACUGUAUGAGCACCCAUCGGUAAGGGAAGAAUGAUGACUUCUUGACAAAGUAUAUGAGCUCCAAAGGGAUCGAGAAGUAUGCAAGUGCGAUGAAAAAGUCAGAUAUGUACUGAUACUUCACAAGGAGAUCAUCGGCCUGCCAAAGUGGUUCGAUGCAAUCACAUGCAUCCAUCUGCUAACAGCAAAAGGUGUUACCGGAGAGCUGCACUCCUACUUGACCUGUGAAAACAUAACAUCAAACUUUUACUUGACUUGAUUUGUAAAACAAUUCCACAAAAAACCAUGAAAGAGAGCAACUUCCAUAGGGCAGCUAUAAUAAUAUGUUAAUAGCAUGGAGUGGUAGUGGUGGUCCAAACCAUAUAUCCAUCAGCCAAAUUUGCAUAUGACAGGCUCUAGUUGGGUUAAGCUAUGAAAAAUACAGUCAAGAUCAAGAGGACAUGCAGAAGACAGAACGCAUCUGUAAGAUUAGCAAUCACAUUUACAUAAAAACGCAGUGCUACGCGCUACGCCAAUAAACAACUAAUGCCAUCAAACGAAUAACACUAACUUACACCUCCCAACAAAGACACCAGUGAAAAAGAUUACCAGUCCCUAUAAAACUAAAAGCCACAAGCUCCAAAGGCGCCGUGAAACUAAACACCGCACUUCGACCCUGAAUCCAACUCUGAACCAUCAUACAUGGAAUGGAACGCCUAAAUAAAGGUUAAAUUACUUGUGUGAACCUAAACUGAGGUCUGUGAAGCUGAGAAAUUAUAUUGACAGUCCAUGGCACACAACCCUACCUUGACCAAACCCAAAAUUGAAAUCGAUUCAGUAUUACAAUUUACAGCAUGUUAUCAUCAAACUGCUUGAGAUUUUUAUUUGCAAUUCACGAAAUAGCUUGACUGCUUGAGGCUGAGAAAUUACUUCAGCAAGAUACCUCAGCUUAAGCUUCUCUCUUUUCUCUGUCUGCUCUCCUCUGCCGCCGCACGCCUUGUCUUGACCAGACCAAGACGACGCGGCAAGCUCGAGCACGGCAGGUAAGAGGAAGAAUCCCACCGCAACAGCAGCAGGAAAUGCAAGAAACCGGAGGCAGCUCUUGUAGCCACUCUCCCAGCCGCACAAGGAACUCCAGGGACACCGCGCCGAUCUCAGCACGGCAGCGCGCCGGAACCAAGAACCGCACCAACAACCGCCGGUGGAAAACGACGAGGUCUCCUCGCUCUAAAUCGAAGCAGCAGCUGCUCGCGUGUUGACCUGAGACACGGGAGGAGAGACGGGCGGCGACUCGAUCUGCUGCCCGGCGCUCCCGUGCCGGAGCUGCCCACGAUUGUCGGGAUGGAUGGAUUCUUGGGAAUGAGGAGAGAGAGAGGGGGGCUGGGCUGGAGGGGAUGUCCCGGAGCUGCAAGUGACUAGAGAAAAAGCGCCCUUUUGGUUUCUGUUGGAUGUGAAAGCGAAGACGCGACACCCCGCCGUUAAUGGCAGCAACUUGGAACUUCGCCACACUUUGCAGGUAAAAAAAUGGAGUACUGAUCGAGCCUUUCCUCUUGAGUUCUUUGUUUAAUAUAACUACGAUUUAUGCAGGAUUUUGUGCGUAUUUUAAAACAUAUACUACUAUGAUUUUGUGCAAGAUUAUCACGAAUUUAUGCAUAAAUUCUGUUUCAAGUUGCACAUUUUUCCAAGGGAGUUUGGCUUUCUUUGUUUAGCAUUAGAGAAAAUCGGCGAAAGACUUUCGUGCCGUUCUGAUGCUUUUUUUAGCAGCCAAGUUGCACAUGAUGAUUUUGUGGCGUGAUUAGGUGCUCCUCUAGGCAAAAAUAUACUAGUAUCAUCAACUAAUUAAAGAUCAAUGUCUCUGAAAUCGCCAACACUGAUAAUUUCAUACUCCACUAAAAUGCAUUACUAGUGCCUUUCUCAGUUCAGCAACACUGGAAUCCAACCGUGCAUCUGAAGGAUGAAGACCACUACUAAUUUGCAUAAUACUGCCACUACUAAUUCUUAAGGGAAAAAAAAUCCGUGGUGAAAGCGACAGGGGAGGCUGGAUGCAUUGCACCUGCUGGGCUGGAUGCAUGGACAUGUGAGGCAGACGUUUGGAGUCAGACUUGACCACAGAGAGAGAUGCUUUGCUGUAGGAUGUACGGCAUGCUGAUGUGUGAUGGGUUGCACCUGCCCAUCACCGGCCUUUCCCAUGCUCUCUUUUGUGUUUGUGCAGACGUAGCAUCUUCAGCCGUGGCCCCAGGAGAUGCUAAAAAUCGCUGCCUGGGGGGCGUACUCGCACUAACCACAUGCUAGGAGCGUGAUGCUUUUCAGUCUUCAUGCUUACGUUUUUUUUAAAAACAAAAUUCAGCCCCACAUUCGCCCAAACAAGACGUAAAUUCAAUCAAACUUCAGCGAGUUCAUAACAUAUAUAUAAUAUUUUACAAAAGAAAAAAAAACACCACUAGACCCGCCGCCGUCCUCGUCGUUCCUCGCCGACCACCGCCCUUGAAGCUCUACAUGCCGAGAAGCCUGUAGAACUGCGUGUAGUCGCCGCCGUCGCCGUCGUCGUCGCCUCCUCCCCGGCCGCCGUCCCUGUUGCUCCCCUGCCCAGGGUCGCCGACGCGCGACGGGUUGGACGGUCCGAGGGCGUUCUCGUCCUCGUCGCUGUCGAGGAUCCCCACGCCGUUCUCGUCCUCGCGCCCACGCUGACGGGCGGCUAUCUCCUGUAGGGCUCGGCGCUGCCGGGCCAUCUCGUCGCGGAGGUAGUCAUCCCGCGCCCACUUUAGGGCGGCCUCGUCGGAGAAGCCGCGCUGGGCUAUGGCCUCGUGCUCUGCGGGAAGGCCGGGCUCCACCUUCGGCCUGACGAGUUGGGCAGAGGUGGGGCAGGACUCGGCGAUGCGGACGCUGGAGCUACGGGUGCACUGGCUGAUCGGCGCGUCCUGGGGCUCCGGCUUGAUGAGGAGGAGGGAGGGAGAGCCGGACGAGGAGGAGGACGCCGGGUCCAUGUGCCUCGGCGUCCAUGAGCUCCCACGCCGGCGGGAGAAGGUGUGUGGGGGGGGGAGCGAGGUACUCCAGCCUGGGCGUGUGGCCGCCGUGCGUACGCGUAGCGGUCGAGUGACGCGCGUCGCCCCGUCUUCACUGCGCCGCCCGUGAGGCAUCAAUGGAGGAGGUUGACCGGCGCGGCAGCGCGCGACAACUUUGGCAUUGAUUCCCCCGCGGGAACCGAGGCGAUGAGGACGAUGAAGCGACGAGAAGAGCCGAGUCACUGCCAAGGAGGGCCCGCCGAUUUUCACGCCAAAAACGAUUCGGCCGGCGCCCCCAAGCGCCCCCCCAGCGCGCCGGGUUCGGCCUGAGUCCGCCGGCGCCAAUUUUGGUCCGAGCCGGCAAAAAAGGGCCUUUGGGGGCGCGGCUGGGCCGUUUGGCAUCGGCGGCCAAAAAAUCGUCUGAGGAGUCUUGUUGGGGGCGCGGAUGGAGAUGCUCUUAGGCUUUGUUUUUUUGAGCUUUUGUUUCUGCUUUCAUAGCUUUUUUAUUUUAAUCAAAAACACCAUAAAAAUUUCUGAAUAGAUGCUUUCGGAGUUUUUAUGGCUUUUGGAGCCAAAUAUUGUUAUAUCAAUUCAUCAAAAGCUAUCAAAGCUCCAAAAGCAUUUAUUUAGAAGUUUUUAUGGCUUUUUGAUCAAAAUGAAAAAGCUGUAAAAGUAGGAGCAAAAACCUAAACAAACAUGGCUUUACAAAUGUACAAAAUCAAUGACCUGGGAAACCACAAACAAUAUUGUCAGCCCUCUCUAAUUCGUAGGAUUUUUGAAACAUAAAACCAUAAAAAGGAAAGAUUUAGUGCGAAAGUCUUCUUGUGCACAUGAGCACAUAUGCGCCAGCUGUCAACAGUAAAUUAAAAAAAUACCUCCUCUGUUAACUAAUAUAAGAUCUUUUAGAUCACUAUUUUAGUGAUAUAAACAAUUUUAUAUUAGUUUAUAGAGGGAGUAGUAAACAAUAUUUCAAAAAAAAUGAUUUUUAGGCAAACAUUGUUGAAUGUUUCAAGUGUGUGCAAAGUUUCAUCAUGGAAUGGCAUUCAUGAAAGUCGUGGUGAAAACAAAAACAAAAACAGUUCUCCAAAAUGCUUUAAAAAUAGUUUUUUUUGGAAAUUUGUUUUUUCGCCACAACUUUCAAGAAUGUCAUUGCAUCAUCAAACUUUGCGAGCACUCAAAUCAUUCAACAAUGUUUGCAAAAAAAAAGAUCAAUUUUUUUUUUACAAAAUUGCUGUUCAUCCAGGUCCAUUUGUGCUCGGGAUCAGAUACCCCACGUCCGAUUUAGUGGCUAUGUUCUCUCAAAUCCAUUCCUACAGUAUUAGGAAUCCAUUGAAUUUGGUAUUAGAAAUUAUUUGACGCCAUAGGACAAACAAAGAAAAUGUAAAGAAGUCUGACGGAUGGAAAUGUUCCUCCUAAAUAGAGCCCACACCAAUUCUUAGAAAAUUUCCUAAGAAUUACAAUCUUAGAAAUCAAAUAGCCUAUGUACAAAAAUCCCGAUCCUCCAAAAAUCAAUGAAUCCAGGGAGCAUCUAUAUUUGUUCUCUCAUAUAUGACAUCUAUAUUUGUUCUCUCAUAUAUGAUAUAUUUUUCAUAUUCAAUUAUUUGUAUUAAAAAUAUUUGCAAAUGGUGUUGCAUCAUUAUAUUUUGCGGUCUAUAAUCUAGCGUUAGCUUCUGGACUUUUGCUUGCAAAUCAAUUCAAUUUUUAUGUGUUUAUUCAUGGCUGUAUUAGGGUUGCCUAUCUGAAGCUCUUAUAAUUUAAUUUAUAGGUUUUUAGUUAAUCCAAGAUUCAACGCGUACGAACAUCCAUACUAUCAGGAGGGCACAAGUAAAGGCACUUUGGUUUGAACUCCAAGACAUAUCCUAAACCGAGGUCCUCAAACAAUCCACUAAAGCAACUCAACUCCACUGUUUUCGAAAGCCUCGAUACCACCAUGUACUAUUGAGCCUUCAAGGAGUGAGUUACGCUAGAGUGCAAACUAAGUUUCCACAACCUUGAAACUUCCAAUCAUUUUUGUGUAAAGGAGAUGUAAAUAUGUUUGAGUGAGUAAGAAAUUUCUCUCAAAAUAGAAUCCAAGGCAAUUCUUAGGAUUUUUUCCCUGAGGAUACCAAUCUUACGAAUCAAAUAGCCCAUGUAUUUAAAAAUAGUCCUAAGGAUGACCCAGAUCCUCCAAAAAUCUAUAAAUUCACUUGAAUCCAAGGACAUUUAUGGUUGUUGUCGCGCACUAUGAUAUUUGUUCUUAGAACAUUUCUUGCACUAGAAAGCAUUUGCAUAUUGUUUUUUGCCUCAUUGCGUUGUGUGAUCUAUAAUCUAUUUGUUAGCUUCGAUGUACGAGCUUCGGUAAGUUGUUUAUGUUACUAUAAAGAAAAGGGUUCAAAACUAAAAUAUUUCUUUGUUUUUUAAAUCUUUAUUUGGUUGUCUAUUUUGUGCCUCUUUUCUUAACUUUAAAAAUCACAAUAAUAUUAUCUUAUUUUUUGUUUUCUUAUUGCAUUCUUUAAGAAAAAUUAAAACUAAACGUAUUUCACGUUGUGUUUCAUGAGUGUCUUCUCUUGUUUGAAAAAACAUUUGAAGGAAAAUACUAAUAAUAUUUCUCUUUAUUCAUUCUUAUGGUUUUAUUUGAUUAUUACUUUGGUUUUCAUUUGCCCCUUUCAUUGUUUUUAUUGCUUUUCUUAUUAUUUUUUCUUCUUUGUAUUUAAGUCACAUGAUUUCUUAUAAAUCCACAAAAGGAUUCCUUUGUUCGUGUCUUAUUGAGUCUUGGUGUUUCAGCAAGAGAAAACAACAAAGAGAUUUCUGGGUGGGACUUAUUGUUUUAUCUUUUGAACUAAUGAAAACCCAAAAAUAUUUCUACUGUAUUUUCAUUUGUAUAAUUUGGUCGCAUAUUCGGCUUCAGCCCAUGAGGACACUUGCACUUCAUUAUAUAUUAUCACUUAUAUUAUUCAAUCAUGCAAGUGAAAAAUCAACAACGAUGAUUGCUUGAUGAAGUGACCGUGACAAAGAAAGCUGGCACGAUCAUCAUUUUUUUUGUUUGUGUACAUAUGUCUAUUGACAUGCUCUCUUUAUAGCAUCUUGUGUUUGUAAUAUUGUGCAUAAUAUAAGCUUGGUGAUUCAUGCUUUCUCGUGCUAAGUCUUAAUCAUCUAGGUGUACCUUAUGUGCUAUCUUGAAUACUAACAUGCAUUAUACUAGAUCAUAAUUUGGUAUGUUAGUAUGGUAUCUUCCUUUGAAGUAGUCAAGUGACUUGACUUGUCACAUGUUUUUAUAAUUCCAAUUCAUCCCCAAAGCUAUUAUAACUUUAGAGUGUUAGUAUCCUACUUAUGUUACCUCUUAAUGCUUACUUAUUCAAAAUGCAUGUUUAUGAUCGUUAUGCUUUUAGUUGGUCACUUCCUAGUCUAUUGCUAGCCUUCGUCUACACUAAGCAUGCAUUCUGCUUGUGCAUCCAAUGUCCUUGAGCCAAGUUUGCCAUAAGAGUCCAUUAUACCUUCCUAUCAUGAAUAAGAGUCAUUCCUAGUAAGUUUUCAUUGUCACACCAAAUCAUCCUUUUGUUUCCUAAGUUUUCAAAGUGGGUGAAGUGUGGGUUUCCUCAAUCUUUGUAAUGGCUACCCAUGGAAACAAAUGAAAAAAAAAUCCUACAAAGGAACUCCAAAACUAAAGAAAUAAAAGUUGUUUGGGGCUAUUAAAAAGAGAAUGGUAAAGUUACCCUUCUAACUCGUCAAAACCGAAAAACAAUUCCUAAAACCUUGGCAUCAUAAGUCCGCCAGUUUUUAUUAAAAUAAGCGCAUUUCAAUCCCUACUUCCCUCUGUGAUGGUCCUAUACUUUUAAUUUUUAUGUUGUGUCAUCACUUUCCUCGAGCACCGACUAUUGAGAGCAUAAUUACCAUUCUUUAUUUUUUGGAAAAAUUCUAAACUUUAUUCAUUUGAUAUCACCAUUACAUUGUUUAUGAGGAUCGAUACAAUUUCAUUUAAAGGCCCCUCCAACCAAUAAAAAAUCAAAGAAAAUUUAGUCAUUCUAGCAAGUUUGUGAGCAACUUUAUUUGCUUCUCUAUUAUAAUGCUCAAAUCUAGAAAUAGUAAAAUCACAUGCAGAAUAAAAACAAUCAUCAAAAACCGCCGCAGUCGUCCCCGCCGACCGUCCUCCUUCCUUCAUGGUAUCAAUCACCUCCAUGUUGUUUGAAUUAAUGACUAGCUGCAUCCCAUACUUUGUACUAAUGAUAGACCAAAUUUAGGGCCCAAGCUUUCGCCGUCAAUACAUCUGCGCACCAAUCUAUCUUUCCAUUUCCCCAACAAUGAAUCUUCCUUUAUCAUCCCUCAGGACCACCCCAUUAUACCCCUAAGCAGGUCAUGAUCAAAAGAAGCGUCAACAUUGAGUUUAACAAAACCUACCAGAGGACAUGACCAACCCUCUUUUUUCAUGGAAACCUUAGGAGAGGUGGCGGUAACAAAGUUUGCCGUAAGAGUGUGGAUCCCCAUAGAGAUCUGUUGUGCACUCUGAGUUGUCUCGUUGUGAACCAAUUUACGCCUUUCCCACCAGAGAUACCAAGCUCAGAUUGCAAUCAUUUCACGCACAUUCUGGUUACCUAUAAUAUGAGAUUCCUGUUCUGGCAUAAGAAGUAAGUAUUCCAACACCGCCUCACCAACACAAUCUACUUCACAAGCUUUAACAAUAAUAUCAUCAAUUUCCAGUCUUCUCCAAACUUCCCUUGCUUUGUGACAUAGAAAUAGAAUAUGCUUUGUAUCUUCUGGACCAGAUGAGCAAGAAGGGCAGUUGGGAGAGACCUUCAUAUGUCUAUUAGCAAGCAUUACACGACAUAGGAGCGUGCCAUGCGGCAUGCGCCAGAUAAAAAAGUCCACCUUAGCCAGACAUGGUAGUUGCCAGAUCUUACCCUAAAUCGGAUUAACUGUGGUUCGUCCCAUUCCAUUGGUAUGAAGCAAUUUGCUUCCAUGUUGAUUUUCCCACUCCAAAAAAUAGGCGGACCAAACUAAAUACAUGCCAUUUUUUGUGAAACUCCAGGCUACAAAGUCAGGCAUAUCAUGUUGCGAGAUUGGGACUGCGAGGACUCGUUGUACAUCAAUUGGCCAGAGGGUUUGUCUAAUUAGUUCCUCAUCCCAAAUAUUUGAAACAUGAUCAAUCAAAUCUGAUACCUUAGAUAACAAUUGACCCCCCUCUGGGAGUAAUGACAAUUCUAUCUGCACAAUUUGGGAUCCAAGUAAUUAUCAUUCUUAAAUGGUAAAUGGCUCAUGCUUAAUAAAAAAAUUCCCAGUCAAUCAAAUGGAACUUGAUGCACCCAAGUUUCUAUUAAAUGUAUAUUGAAAUAAAACAAAAGGAGAAAUGAUUUCAUGUCUAAUUUAAGGGCAGUCCCAUGCGAACUUAUGGCUCUUUUUUCUUCUUCUUGCUUGACAGUCGGAUCACAUUUGAUGAUAAAACUUAUCUUUUCUUAUGCCAAUGAUGUUGCAUCUAAUUUAAAGGCAGUCCCGCCCAAACUUUGGCUAUGUUUUUAAUUUCUUGCUUGACACUCGGAUCUACAUUUCAUGAUAAAUCCUCUCAUUUUAAUUCUAUAUUUAGGUUAUUACAACUCAGAGGAAGAGAUUGUGGGCUUAAGAUAGAAAUUAUCAAAUACAUUUGCACAUCUUAACAGUAGAACAAUUAAUUUUGAUGAACCAAGUUUGAUCCGCCAAGGUCUUUUUUUACUAAAAUUAUUAAACUAAAAAAAACGUGAUGUAACCGUUAUGUUAAUAUAUUAUCCUUGGUAUUACUAAACAAAGGUUGCUACGAGUCCACAUUUGGGACAGUAAACAUAAUAUGACCUCACACGGAGGAUCCAACAUCUUUACCACUUCACCUGUUGAAACGUCUCAAAAUGUAUAUACUUUUUCAAACAACUUUGCUAUUGUUUUGGCCUCUAAUUGCAUGAUUUGAAUGAAACUAAUCCAGACUGACGCUAUUUUCAGCAAAAUUGCUAUGGUGUUAUUUUUUUGCAGAAAUAAAAAUGAUCCAAAUAGAAUGAGGAUUUUUAAGGAAUUUUUAUGGGACCAACGGACCAAAGAUUGACCAAAGGGGGCCACCAGGGUGCCACACGACCUGAUGGCGCGGGUCCCCCUGGCCAUGCCAGGUGGUCGCGUGGGCCCCUCGGGCACCACAUUUGACGAGUCCUUGGCCUAUAAAUACUAUAUAUCCCAGAAAAAUCACAAAAAUCAUCAACGUGUUUUAGCACUAAUCGUUUGCAACUGCCAAUGAUCAGUGUAAUGAUCCGAUCAAUGCCAAUGAUCUGAUCAUGCUUUGUUACUAACACACAUCCUCUUACCUGACAAGAUCAUGAAGACGGAGUGGGACGCAGCCGAUGAUAGAGCGCAGGUGAUGGCUGGCGCUGAGGACGCCGAGGAACUGAUCCAGACAAACCGGUGGCUCAAGAGGAUGCACCUGCCUGGCAGAUCGUUGCCAUGAGCCAGCCGCCGGGCAUUGGACGCAGGCCGAGGAUCACCCACGAGGAGGGGGCAUGACAGCCACUACGCUUCUAUGUCCAGAUCAAGGGCGAGGAGGAUAUCGCCUUGCUCAUCAUCCCACCAACAUUCAGGGCAGUGAUGAAGCAGUGGUUGGUCUGGAAGCCUCCUCACGCUGUCAGACUCUCGACGAACAAGUGGUGCGAGUUAUAAGUGUAGGUCCAGGCCUUCCAGGUGUUGGGGAACGUAGUAUUUCAAAAAAAUUCCUACGAUCACUCAAGAUCUAUCUAGGAGAUGCAUAGCAACGCGAGAGGAGAGUGUGUCCAUGUACCCUCGUAGACCGAAAGCGGAAGCGUUUAGUAACGCGGUUGAUGUAGUCGAACGUCUUCACGAUCCAACCGAUCCAAGUAUCGAACGUACGACACCUCCGUGUUCAACACACGUUCAACACGAUGACGUCCCUCGAGCUCUUGAUCCAGUUGAGGACGAGGGAGAGUUCCGUUAGCACGAUGGCGUGGCGAUGGUGAUGAUGAAGUUAUCGGUGCAGGGCUUCACCUAAGCACUACGACGAUAUGACCGAGGUGUUGAACUGUGGAGGGGGGCAACACACACGGCUAAGAGAUUGUCUGUUGUGCUAGUGCCCCUGGCCAUGUAUAUAAAGGAGGGAGGGAGAGAGGAGGCCGGAGAGGAGGGGUGCGCCAGGAGGGAGUCCUACUUGGACUCCUAGUCCAAGUAGGAUUCGCCCCCCCCCUUUCCUUUCUUCCACCAGAGGGAAAGGAAGGAGGGGAGAAGGAGAAGGAAGGAGGGGGACACGCCCCCACCCCUUGUCCAAUUCGGGUUGGGCAGGGGGGAGGCGCGCGCCACCUCGUGGCCCUUCUUCCCUCUCCCCACUAAAGCCCACUAAGGCCCAUUAACUUCCCCGAGGGGUUCCGAUAACCUCCAGGUACUCCCGAAAAAUGCCUGAACUACUCGGAACUGUUCCGAUGUCCAAAUGCAACCUUCCAAUAUAUGAAUCUGUACCUCUCGACCAUUUCGAGACUCCUCGUCAUGUCCGUGAUCUCAUGCAGGACUCCGAACAAACUUCGGUCAUCAAAUCACAUAACUCAUAAUACAAAUCGUCAUCGAACGUUAAGCGUGCGGACCCUACAGGUUCGAGAACUAUGUAGACAUGACCGAGACACAUAUCCGGUCAAUAACCAAUAGCGGAACCUGGAUGCUCAUAUUGGAUCCUACAUAUUCUACGAAGAUCUUUAUCGGUCAAACCACAUAACAACAUACGUCGUUCCCUUUGUCAUUUGUAUGUUACUUGCCCGGGAUUCGAUCGUCGGUAUCAUCAUACCUAGUUCAAUCUCGUUACUGGCAAGUCUCUUUACUCAUUCCAUAAUGCAUCAUCCCGUAACUAACUCAUUACUGAGAAGGCCCAGAGAUACCCCUCUGAUACACGGAGUGACAAAUCCUAAUCUCGAUCUAUGCCAACUCAACAAACACCAUUGGGGACACUUGUAGAGCAUCUUUAUAAUCACCCAGUUACGUUAUGACAUUUGAUAGCACACAAGGUGUUCCUCCGGUAUUCGGGAGUUGCAUAAUCUCAUAGUUAGAGGAACAUGUAUAAGUCAUGAAGAAAAUAAUAGCAAUAAAACUAAAGGAUCAUUAUGCUAAGCUAAAGGAUGGUUCUUGUCCAUCACAUCAUUCUCUAAUGAUGUGAUCCCGUUCAUCAAAUGACAACACAUGUCUAUGGUCAGGAAACUUAACCAUCUUUGAUUAACGAGCUAGUCAAGUAGAGGCAUACUAGGGACACUUUGUUUGUCUAUGUAUUCACACAUGUACUAAGUUUCCGGUUAAUACAAUUCUAGCAUGAAUAAUAAACAUUUAUCAUGAUAUAAGGAAAUAUAAAUAACAACUUUAUUAUUGCCUCUAGGGCAUAUUUCCUUCAGUCUCCCACUUUCACUAGAGUCAAUAAUCUAGAUUACAUAGUAAUGAUUCUAACACACAUGGAGUCUUGGUGAUGAUCAUGUUUUGCUCGUGAAAGAGGCUUAGUCAACGGGUCUGCAACAUUCAGAUCCGUGUGUAUCUUGCAAAUCUCUAUGUCUCCCUCCUUGACUUGAUCGCGGAUGGAAUUGAAGCGUCUCUUGAUGUGUUUGGUUCUGUUGUGAAAUCUGGAUUCCUUCGCCAAGGCAAUUGCUCCAGUAUUGCCACAAAAGAUGUUCAUUGGACCCGAUGCACUAGGUAUUACACCUAGAUAGGGUAUGACCUCCUUCAUCCAGACUCCUCCAUUUGCUGCUUCCGAAGCAACUAUGUAUUCCGAUUCACACGUAGAUCCCGCCACGACACUAGAGCUUGGAACUGCACCAACUGACAGCUCCACCAUUCAAUAGAAAUACGUAUCCGGUUUGUGACUUAGAGUCAUCUGGAUCAGUGUCAAAGCUUGCAUUGAUGUAACCAUUUACGACGAGCUCUUUGUCACCUCAUAAACGAGAAACAUAUCCUUAGUCCUUUUGAAGUAUUUCAGGAUGUUCUUGACCGCUGUCCAGUGAUCCACUCCUGGAUUACUUUGGUACCUCCCUGCUAAACUUAUAGCAAGGCACACAUCAGGUCUGGUACACAACAUUGCAUACAUGAUAGAACCUAUGGCCGAGGCAUAGGGAAUGACUUUCAUUUUCUCUCUAUCUUCUGCAGUGGUCGGGUAUUGAGUCUGACUCAACUUCACACCUUGUAAUACAAGCAAGAACCCUUUCUUUGACUGAUCCAUUUUGAACUUCUUCAAAACUUUAUCAAGGCAUGUGCUUUGUGGAAGUCCAAUUAAACGUCUUGAUCUAUCUCUAUAGAUCUUGAUGCCCAAUAUAUAUGCAGCUUCACCUAGGUCCUUCAUUGAAAAAUUCUUAUUCAAGUAUCCUUUUAUGUUAUCCAGAAAUUCUGUAUUAUUUCCAAUCAACAAUAUGUCAUCCACAUAUAAUAUUAGAAAUGCUACAGAGCUCCCACUCACUUUCUUGUAAAUACAGGCUUCUCCAAAAGUCUGUAUAAAACCAUAUGCUUUGAUCACACUAUCAAAGCGUAUAUUCCAACUCCGAGAGGCUUGCACCAGUCCAUAAAUGGGUCGCUGGAGCUUGCACACUUUGUUAGCACCUUUCGGAUCGACAAAACCUUCUGGUUGCAUCAUAUACAACUCUUCUUUAAGAUAUCCAUUAAGGAAUGCAGUUUUGACAUCCAUUUGCUAAAUUUCAUAAUCAUAAAAUGCGACAAUUGCUAACAUGAUUCAGACAGACUUAAGCAUCGCUACGGGUGAGAAGGUCUCAUCGUAGUCAACUCCUUGAACUUGUCGAAAACCUUUCGCAACAAGUCAAGCUUUGUAGACAGUAACAUUACCGUCAGCGUCAGUCUUCUUCUUGAAGAUCCAUUUAUUCUCUAUGGCUUGCCGAUCAUCGGGCAAGUCAACCAAAGUCCACACUUUGUUCUCAUACAUGGAUCCCAUCUCAGAUUUCAUGGCCUCAAGCCAUUUCGCGGAAUCUGGGCUCAUCAUCGCUUCCUCAUAGUUUGUAGGUUCGUCAUGGUCAAGUAACAUGACCUCCAGAACAUGAUUACCGUACCACUCUGGUGCGGAUCGUACUCUGGUUGACCUACGAGGUUCGGUAGUAACUUGAUCAGAAGUUUCAUGAUCAUCAUCAUUAGCUUCUUCACUCAUUGGUGUAGGAAUCACUAGAACUAAUUUCUGUGAUGAACUACUUUCCAAUUCGGGAGAAGGUACAAUUUCCUCAUCAAGUUCUACUUUCCUCCCACUAACUUCUUUCGAGAGAAAACUCCUUCAAUAGAAAGGAUCCAUUCUUAGCAACGAAUAUCUUGCCUUCGGAUCUGUGAUAGAAGGUGUACCCAACAGUCUCUUUUGGGUAUCCUAUGAAGACACAUUUCUCCAAUUUGGGUUCGAGCUUAUCAGGUUGAAACUUUUUCACAUAAGCAUCGCAGCCCCAAACUUUAAGAAACGAUAGCUUAGGUUUCUUGCCAAACCACAUUUCAUAUGGUGUCAUCUCAACGGAUUUAGAUGGUGCCCUAUUUAACAUGAAUGCGGUCGUCUCUAAAGCAUAACCCCAAAAUGAUAGCAGUAAAUCAAUAAGAGACAUCAUAGAUCGCACCAUAUCUAAUAAAGUAUGGUUACGACAUUCUGACACACCAUUACACUGUGGUGUUCCAGGUGGCGUGAGUUGCGAAACUAUUCCACAUUGUUUCAAAUGAAGACCAAACUCAUAACUCAAAUAUUCACCUCCACGGUCAGAUUGUAGAAACUUUAUUUUCUUGUUACAAUGAUUUUCUACUUCACUCUGAAAUUCUUUGAACUUUUCAAAUAUUUCAGACUUAUGUUUCAUUAAGUAGAUAUACCCAUAUCUGCUCAAAUCAUCUGUGAAGGUCAGAAAAUAACGAUACCCGCCGCGAGCCUCAACACUAAUCAAACCGAUACAUUAGUAUGUAUUAUUUUCCAAUGAGUCAGUUGCUCGCCCAAUUGUUCCGAAGAACGGAGUUUUAGUCAUCUUUCCCAUGAGGCAUGGUUCGCAAGCAUCAAGUGAUUCCAAAAGUCCAUCAGCAUGGAGUUUCUUCAUGCGCUUUACACCAAUAUGACCUAAACGGCAGUGCCACAAAUAAGUUGCACUAUCAUUAUUAACCUUGCAUCUUUUGGCUUCAAUAUUAUGAAUAUGUGUAUCACUACAAUCGAGAUUCAAUAAAAAUAGAUCACUCAUCAAGGGUGCAUGACCAUAAAAGAUAUUACUCAUAUAAAUAGAACAACCAUUAUUCUCUAAUUUAAAUGAAUAACCGUCUCGCAUUAAACAAGAUCCAGAUAUAAUGUUCAUGCUCAAUGUUGGCACCAAAUAACAAUUAUUUAGGUCUAAAACUAAUCCCGACGGUAGAUGUAGAGGUAGCGUGCCGACGGUGAUCACAUCGACUUUGGAACCAUUUCCCACGCGCAUCGUCACCUUGUCCUUAGCCAAUCUUCGUUUAAUCCAUAGCCCCUGUUUCGAGUUGCAAAUAUGAGCAACAGAACCAGUAUCAAAUACCCAGGGGCUACUACGAGCAUUAGUAAGGUACACAUCAAUAGCAUGUAUAUCAAAUAUACCUUUCACUUUGCCAUCCUUCUUAUCCGCCAAAUACUUGGGGCAGUUCCGCUUCCAGUGACCAGUACCUUUGUAGUAGAAGCACUCAGUCUCAGGCUUAGGUCCAGAUUUGGGCUUCUUCCCUUGAGCAGCAACUGGCUUGUUCUUCUUCUUGAAGUUCCCCUUCUUCCCUUUGCCGUUUUUCUUGAAACUAGUGGUCUUGUUAACCAUCAACACUUGAUGCUCCUUCUUGAUUUCUAGCUCCGUAGCUUUUAGCAUCGCGAAGAGCUCGGGAAUUGUCUUUUCCAUCCCUUGCAUAUGAUAGUUCAUCACAAAGCCUUUAUAGCUUGGUGCCAGUGAUUGAAGAACUCUAUCAAUAACACUAUCAUCAGGAAGAUUAACUCCCAGCUGAGUCAAGUGGUUGUGGUACCCAGACAUUCUGAGUAUGUGUUCACUGACAGAACUAUUCUCCUCCAUUUUGCAGCUAUAGAACUUGUUGAAGACUUCAUAUCUCUCAACUCGGGCAUUUGCUUGAAAUAUUAACCUCAAUUCCUAGAACAUCUCAUAUGCUCCAUGAUGUUCAAAACGUCUUUGAAGUCCCGAUUCUAAGCCAUAAAGCAUGGCACACUGAACUAUUGAGUAGUCAUCAACACGCGACUGCCAGGCAUUCACAAUGUCUGCAGUUGUUGGCGCGGGUGGUACACCUAGCGGUGCUUCCAGGAUGUAAUUCUUCUGUGCAGCAAUGGGGAUAAUCCUCAAGUUACGGACCCAGUCCGUGUAGUUUCUACCAUCAUCUUUCAACUUAGCUUUCUCUAGGAACACAUUAAAAUUCAAGGGAACGGUAGCACGAGCCAUUGAUCUACAACAACAUAGACAUGCAAAUACUAUCAGGUACUAAGUUCACGAUAAAUUAAAGUUCAAUUUAAUCAUAUUACUUAAGAACUCCCACUUAGAUAGACAUCCCUCUAGUCAUCUAAAUGAUCACAUGAUCCAUAUCAACUGAACCAUGUCUGAUCAUCACAUGAGAUGGAGUAAUUUUCAAUGGUGAACAUCACUAUGUUGAUCAUACCUACUAUAUGAUUCACGUUCGACCUUUCGGUCUUAGUAUUCCGAGGCCAUAUCUGCAUGUGCUAGGCUCGUCAAGUUUAACCCGAGUAUUCUGCACGUGCAAAACUGGCUUGCACCCAUUGUAUGUGAACGUAGAGCUUAUCACACCCAAUCAUCACGUGGUGUCUCGGCACGACGAACUGUAGCAACGGUGCAUACUCAGGGAGAACACUUAAACCGUAAAAUUUAGUGAGGGAUCAUCUUAUAAUGCUAUCGCCGUACUAAGCAAAAUAAGAUGCAUAAAGGAUAAACAUCACAUGCAAUCAAAAUAUGUGACAUGAUAUGGCCAUCAUCAUCUUGUGCCUUUGAUCUCCAUCUCCAAAGCACAGUCAUGAUCUCCAUCAUCACCGGCUUGACACCUUGAUCUCCAUCGUAGCACCAUUGUCGUCUUGCCAACUAUUGCUUCUACGACUAUCACUACCAUUUAGUGAUAAUGUAAAACAAUUACAUGGCAAUUGCAUUUCAUCCAAUAAAGCGACAACCAUAAGGCUCCUACUAGUUGCCGAUAACUUUUACAAAACAUGAUCAUCUCAAACAACAAUUUAUAUCUCAUCACGUCUUGAUCAUAUCACAUCACAACAUGCCCUGCAAAAACAAGUUAGACAUCCUCUACUUUGUUGUUGCAAGUUUUACGUAGCUGCUACGGGCUCCUAGCAAGAACCGUUCUUGCCUACACAUCAAAACCACAAUGAUUUUUUGUCAAGUGUGCUGUUUUAACCUUCAUCAAGGACCGCCAUAGUCAAACUCAAUUCAACUAAAGUUGGAGAAACAGACACCCGCCAGCCAUCUGUGUGUGAAGCACGUCGGUAGAACCAGUUGUUGAGAACGUAGUAAUUUCAAAAAAAUUCCUACGCACACACAGGAUCAAGGUGAUGCAUAACAACGAGAGGGGAGAGUGUUGUCCACGUACCCUCGUAGACCGAAACUGGAAGCAUUUGCACAACGCGGUUGAUGUAGUCGUACGUCUUCACGAUCCGACCGAUCAAGUACCAAAUGUAUGACACCUCCGAGUUCAGCACACGUUCAGCUGGAUGACGCCCCUCGAACUCCGAUCUAGCCGAGCUUUGAGGGAGAGUUCCAUCAGCACGAUGGCGUGGUGAUAAUGAUGAUGUUCUACCGACGCAGGGCUUCGCCUAAGCACCGCUACGAUAUUAUCGAGGUGGACUAUGGUGGAGGGGGGCACCGCACACGGCUAAGAGAUCCAAGAGAUCAAUUGUUGUGUCUAGAGGUGCCCCUGCCCCCGUAUAUAAAGGGGCAAGGGGGGAGAGGCGGCCGGCCAGGAGGAGGCGCGCCAGGGAGGAGUCCUACUCCCACCAGGAGUAGGACUCCCCCCUUUCCUAGUUGGAGUAGGAGAAGGGGGAAGGAGGAGGGAGAGAGGAAGGAAAGGGGGGCGCCGCCCCCCUCCUUAUCCAAUUCGGACUAGAGGGAGAGGGGGCGCGCGGCCUGCCUUGGCCGCCCCUCCUCUUCUCCACUAAGGCCCAUGUUGGCCCAUUAACCCCCCCUCCCCCCGGGGGGGGGGGGGGGUUCCGGUAACCCCCGAUACUCCGAGAAAAUCCCGAUUUCACCCGAAACAUUUCUGAUAUCCAAAUAUAGGCUUCCAAUAUACCAAUCUUUAUGUCUCGACCAUUUCGAGACUCCUCGUCAUGUCUAUGAUCACAUCCGGGACUCCGAACUUCCUUCGGUACAUCAAAACACAUAAACUCAUAAUAUAACCGUCAUCGAACUUUAAGCAUGCGGACCCUACGGGUUCGAGAACUAUGUAGACAUGACCGAGACACAUCUCCGGUCAAUAACCAAUAGCGGAACCUGGAUGCUCAUAUUGGCUCCUACAUAUUCUACGAAGAUCUUUAUCGGUCAAACCGCAUAACAACAUACAUUGUUCCUUUUGUCAUCGGUAUGUUACUUGCCCGAGAUUCGAUCAUCGGUAUCUCAAUACCUAGUUCAAUAUCGUUACCGGCAAGUCUCUUUACUCGUUUCAUAACACAUCAUCCUGCAACUAACUCAUUAGUUACAAUGCUUGCAAGGCUUAAGUGAUGUGUAUUACCGAGUGGGCCCAGAGAUACCUCUCCGACAAUCGGAGUGACAAAUCCUAAUCUCGAAAUACGCCAACCCAACAAGUACCUUCGGAGACACCUGUAGAGCACCUUUAUAAUCACCCAGUUACGUUGUGACGUUUGGUAGCACACAAAGUGUUCCCCCGGUAAACGGGAGUUGCAUAAUCUCAUAGUCAUAGGAACAUGUAUAAGUCAUGAAGAAAGCAAUAGCAACAAACUAAACGAUCAAGUGCUAAGCUAAUGGAAUGGGUAAAGUCAAUCACAUCAUUCUCCUAAUGAUGUGGUCUCAUUAAUAAAAUGACAACUCUUUGUCUAUGGCUAGGAAACAUAAACAUCUUUGAUCAACGAGCUAGUCAAGUAGAGGCAUAAUAGUGACACUCUGUUUGUCUAUGCAUUCACACAUGUAUCAUGUUUCCGGUUAAUACAAUUCUAGCAUGAAUAAUAAACAUUUAUCAUGAUAUAAGGAAAUAAAUAAUAACUUUAUUAUUGCCUCUAGGGCAUAUUUCCUUCAGUCUCCCACUUGCACUAGAGUCAAUAAUCUUGAUUACACAGUGUCGGUGUCAAAACCGGCGGAUCUUGGGUAGGGGGUCCCGAACUGUGCGUCUAAGGCGGAUGGUAACAGGAGGCAGGGAACACAAUGUUUUACCCAGGUUCAGGCCCUCUUGAUGGAGGUAAAACCCUACGUCCUGCUUGAUUAAUAUUGAUGAUAUGGGUAGUACAAGAGUAGAUCUACCACGAGAUCAGAGAGGCUAAACCCUAGAAGCUAGCCUAUGGUAUGAUUGUAUAUCGUCCUACAGACUAAAACCCUCUGGUUUAUAUAAACACCGGAGAGAGUUAGGGUUACACAAGGUCAGUUACAAAGGAGGAGAUAUCCAUAUCCGUACUGCCUAGCUUGCCUUCCACGCCAAGUAGAGUCCCAUCCGGACACAAGACGAGGUCUUCAAUCUUGUAUCUUCAUAGUCCAACAGUCCGGCCAAAGGAUAUAGUCUGGCUGUCCGGAGACCCACUAAUCCAGGACUCCCUCAGUAGCCCCUGAACUAGGCUUCAAUGACGAUGAGUCCGGCGCGCAGUAUUGUCUUCGGCAUUGCAAGGCGGGUUCCUCCUCCGAACACAUCACGGAAGAAUUUGAAUACAAGGAUAGUGUCCGACCCUGCAAAAUAAGUUCCACAUACCACCGUAGAGAGAAUAAUAUUUCCACAAAUCUAAUUUUGCUGACUUGUUUUGGCAACAUGACAUUAUGUCAUGGCCCGGUGAUUAUUCGAACCGUUUCCUUUAACUAGCCCCGCACAUAACGCGAGGCAGUUUUUUGACACAUCUUGUCAAAGCAGAGAUCGUGUCCCCUUAUCACGGGAUUCUCAUCAAUACGGGCGUGGGUAACCCAACCGCGCCAUCGAUUACGGCGCUUGGGGGAUAAGUGAGUUUUACCAGGCUAGUGGGGACGCAUAGUUUCGUCCGCCCAUAUAAAGGGAUAAGGAUUCAACUUCCCAUCCACGCCUUCUUCCUCCUGUGCUCAUCCAUUUUCACACACUCGAGCUCCAGCGCCCAAGUCUGCAUUUCCCACCUCAACCUUCUCCAGCCAUGUCCAGAGCGGGAGGCAGGUGGAUGGUCUCCUCCGUCACGAAGGGACACACCAAGAAGUUGAGGAGAGCCGGAUACCUGCCUGACGACAUCGCGCACCGGCUCCCAAAUGAGGGGCAGCUCAUCCCCACCCCCAGGCCCCAUGAGAGGGUAGUGUUCCUUACCCAUUUCCUCCGCGGACUGGGAUUCCCUCUCCACCCAUUCAUCCGAGGGCUCAUGUUCUACUACGGCCUGGAUUUCCACGAUCAGGCCCCGAACUUCAUCCUCAACAUCUCGGCAUUUAUCAUCGUGUGCGAGGCCUUCCUCCACAUCAAGCCCCACUUCGGCUUAUGGCUGAAGACCUUCAAUGUCAAGCCGAAGGUAGUGAGCGGCCGCCAGACGGAGUGCGGAGGCGCCAUGGUGGGCAAGAUGCCCAACGUCACAUGGCUCGAGGGCUCCUUCAUGGAGACUGUAAAGGGGUGGCAAUCGGGGUGGUUCUACAUCACCGAGCCACGUGACCCUAAAUGGGCAGCGGCCCCUGAGUUCCGAUCUGGCAUCCCCACACGGCUCACCUCCUGGCAAGAGAAGGGCCUGUCCUGGGGUAGUUCGGGAGAGCUGACCAGACUCCAAACAUGUAUUCAAAACAUGGUGAACAAGAAGCUCAAACUCAUCAACGUAGUCCAGGUCAUGCUCAUCCGCCGGAUCCUUCCGUGCCAACAACGGGCUUUCAACUUGUGGGAGUUUGACCCGGCCCAGCAUCGAACUUUAAACAGGCUCUUCGACACAACUCAUGAGGAUGCCUAGAAGGUGCUAUUCAAAGGUGCUGAGGUUCCCCCUCCCACUACCGAGGAUCGCGGAUUCCGUGCGAAGCGCCAAGCCAGCACGGUAAGCUGUUUUACCUCUCACAGGAUACUUGUUUUUUCAUAGUUUGACUCUAUGCGGGAUCUAAGCUCCCGUACCUUUGACAGGACUGGCAGGAGAUGGCCGGACAGAUCGACUAUCCGACUCCUUUGCCCGAAGGCCCAGCAGAUGCUCUCCUGACGAAGAUGUUGACUCCGACUCCUUACAAGGUGCCGGAGAAGACCAAGAAGGCCAAGGGAACCCGAAAGAGUUCCCGACGCCAGGCGUCAUCGGACUCAUUGUCCGAUAACUCCGCGACACACUCCUUCCCCGAAGAGGAGGAGGAAGAAGAAGAUGCUCCCCCUUCAGAUGGGAGAGACAAGAAAUGGAAGGCCGCCCCAACUGGGGAGGCCGAAGGGUCCAAGAAGGGAAGGACUCUCCUUUCGGACAGUUCCACCACCACCGCCGAAGGCGAAGACGACUGGCUGCUCAGGGCCAAGCCCCUGGCGAAGUCGUAAGCAUUCGGAUACCAGAGUAACUCAUAGUAUUCCUUUGUCGCACUGCUUCCCCUAACGCCGAAUAUGAUUAUGCAGGCCGCCACGAGCCCGCAUCGAUGUGUCGUCGGACGGCUCCCUGGGCUCGCCGGAUAUGGAUAGUGAUCCACUUCCGACCGCCACCUCCCCUUGCCCUGCGGACGACGCCGAGGUAUUGUCUCAAGAGGCACCGGGUCGAGGGGAGAUAGUCCCGGAGGCGCCUCAAGGAGACCUUCCGAUCUCCGGGAGCAGAGGGAACAAGGCCCUUGAGGGCUUCGAGUUCGGCCCUCAGCCGAACACCACGCCGGAACCUCCAGUGGUUCCGGACUCGGGCAGGCGGCCUCCUUCCAAGAGGGGCAAGAUGCCUGCGCCGGUGACCUCUGUCCAUCUAGAGGCACCGGACAAUCUGCUGGGAGCGCUUCGCAGUGCUUCCAUUGACGAGGAGCACCACACUAUUAUGAGUGCGGUGGUCCAGAAGGUUCAGUCCGCAAAAAGCGGAUUGACUGAAGCCUGUGCUAGCCUUCUAACAGGCUUUGAGGUAAGUGUUUUAAAAUAUAGGAAAAAUAUUACCGCAUAGACAGUAGCCCCUGAUGCUCUGUUCGGUGUUCACAAAGAAAAACCGAGCAGAGGAUCAAACAAUAUCGCAGGAGUCUAAUAUAAGUAUGUCAAUUAUGCGUAUGCAGGCUUCGCUGCUGGCAUCUGCCGCACUGACUGCGGAGGUCACCGCACUGAAGUAGGACCUUAAAGGGCCCAAGGACGAGCUCGGCCUUGCCAAGAGGCAGCUCGAGGAGAACAAAGGUAAGUAGUACCUAGUCUAUGGAUAUGUAUAAAAAGAAUGUGAUUGCAAAAUGACAGGAUCAUCAUGAAUUUGCCAGGGGCCAUGACCGAAGUGGCGACCCUAAAGCAAGCGCUAUCCGAGGCCGAAGAUAAAGCGGCCAAGGAGCGCACCGAGCAGGAAAGGCAAGAGGCUCGGGUGGGCAAGGUGCAGCAAGAGCUCUAGGCUCUUGUGACGAAGCACGAGGCGUUGGAGCUUGACUCGAAGACGCGAGAGUCUGAGCUUGCCGCGGCCCUCGAGAGCGCAAAGAGUGCCAAGGCCGAAUCCCAAAAGGCCCUUCAGGAGAUUGACGUGAUGAAGAAAAUAGCGGCGGGUAAGGCAUUCUGUAUGCAAAGCAAGCAUGUGAAAGUAAAUUACCUAUUACUUACCCGAAUCCGGAGCUCUCCAGGAGCAUUCGCAAAUUUGCCCCGCAGCGUGUCGGAUGCCGCACAGUAUUACCAGGCCGAGGAGGGAAGCUCAACGGAGAAGCUAUUCUGGUCUCAGUAUACUGGGACCGAACACCCGGUGCCUAUGAGCGACCAGCUAAAGCAGCUGGUCGAGCUACACAAGGCGGCCGAACAGGCCAUGAAGGGCUUUAUAGUCCGGCUGUGGCCUGGCGACGCCCUUCCGAACAGCUACUUCGGCUUAGUGAGGCAUCUUGUAGACGCCUGCCCACGGCUGGAAGUCGUCAAGCGGCCCGUCUGCAUCGAAGGUGCACGCCGGGCUUUCGCCCGUGUGAAGGUGCAAUGGGCCAAGCUAGACGUCGUGAAGCUGAUCAAGGAAGGACCGCCGCAGGGCAAGGAGCAUCGCACCCCCAAAAUUUAUUAUGAGGGUGUCCUGAAGGGUGCCCGUCUUGUAGCAGAAGAAUGUUCAAAGGAUGUAAUAUUUGAGUAGACUUGCUCGUGUGAUCCUAUAUGAUGAAAACUUGUUUCAUAUGCACUAUGCAACGCUUGUUUGAAUUUAAAAUAUUACCUUCUGUUUGGCUGUUUAUCCAAUCUGAGAGAUGGCUAGUCCUCGGCUUCUGCCCCCAUGCCGCGAGUGCUUGGGUGUUCGGGAUAAACCUGAGCACUUUUGUUCCCAUUUUUGGGUCCUUCGAGGGAGGUGCUCAGCACGGCGAACAAGGCAACCAGACUAAUAAUGCUUUAUCACUCUCACUUAGCCAUAGAAUUCUAUAAUUUUAAAUUUCGGCGAAGCCCUUGGUAUUCGGAAGGCCGAAUUCGGGGCGCGAUAAACGCCUUUAAGCCGGAUAGGGCCGGCUCCUCGCUCUAAGCGGCAUAAGUCUUUAGGGACUCGAAACCUCGCCGAACAGCGACCAGUCUCUCGCCUUAUCAUGACAGUCAAUUUUAGCUUUCUCUACUGAGGUGCUUAGCUCAGCAGAACUGGGGAACAAUCGCAGUAGUUCUCCUAGUGCUACCUUAGCCGAUAGAGUGGAACGUAAGGUACCAAAACAUAGGAGCCGGGCAAACCCAACAUUUGACCAAAGACAUGAUUCAGAGCUGAUGCAUAUAAUGCUAUAAGUUCGGGGUGCCGCACUUGUGAAAGUGUUCGGACUUAUCACACCAUAUUGUGGGGUACUUAAGCCCCUGGUGUAUUGGCCGUACCAAAGUGUAGGGUUACAAGGCGUCAUUAAUGAACACAUGUAUAUAAAAAAGAAGAAUGCAAUAGUAGUCGUAAUGCUAUGCAUUGUUUAUUCAAAAAGGUGCGUUAAAGCAGAAUGAUACAAAUAGUGUGAUAAGCAAAAAGUAGGACUAUGUCCCUUUCAAGGGCAAGCUGAGGAAUAGUAUCAAAGCAAAUAUUUCACUCGUUAUCGUAAUCCACCUGGGAGUUCCAUGGUGUGACAUAGCUUUCUGCCUCCUUGGUUGCUGCAUCAUGUGUUCGGCAAUCAUGCUGCCGGACAGGGUUUCCAGAGAUUAAAGUCCUGAAAAAAUAACAAAGCGGGAAGCCCCUAGUGCGGUUUAAGCCACGUAUUGGGGCGUGCCAUAGUUGUGCCCCCCUCCCCGCUUGUGCCCAUGGUAUUUUUAAUGCGUAAAUAUGUACGCAUGGCACGGAUUUCGCCGUUUGGCUGGGACUGGGGUGGGCGCCGCAUUGCUACGCGAGCUCAGGUUGUGCCAGGCGGUCUAGUUGCCGAUUACUCCGAGCGCGCUUGAAGGUGUCCGGGUCUUGAAACGCCGAAAUGGUGGAUUGCCUUGAGAGGCUGCUUUGCGCUUCUGCUGCGAGGGCCGCAGUGUGCUCCUCCGUGCGGAGAGAGCACUCUGUGUUUCCAUUAACUGUGAUGACCCCCCGAGGUCCUGACAUCUUGAGCUUGAGGUAUGCAUAAUGCGAUAUCACAUUGAAUCCCGCAAAUGCGGUUCGCCCGAGUAGUGCAUGAUAGCCACUGCGGAACGGGACUAUAUCAAAGAUUAAUUCUUCGCUUCGGAAGUUAUCCGGGGAUCCGAAGACCACUUCCAGUGUAAUUGAGCCUGGGCAAUGGGCCUCUACCCCUGGAAUGACGCCUUUAAAGGUCGUUUUUGUGGGUUUGAUCCUUGAGGGGUCUAUACCCAUUUUGCACACUGUGUCCUGAUAAAGCAAGUUCAGGCUGCUGCCUCCAUCCAUAAAGACUCGAGUGAGGUGAAAUCCGUCAAUGAUUGGGUCUAGGACUAGUGCGGCAAAUCUGCCAUGAUGGAUGCUAGUGGGGUGGUCCCUGCGAUCGAAGGUGAUCGGACAGGAGGACCAUGGGUUGAACUUUGGGGCGACUGGCUCCAACGCAUAUACGUCCCUGAGCGCACGCUUCCGCUCCCUCUUGGGGAUGUGGGUUGCGUAUAUCAUGUUCACCAUCCGCACUUGUGGGGGGAACCUCUUUUGUCCUCCGGUGUUCGGCUGCCGAGGCUCUUCCUCAUCAUCGCUAUGUGGCCCCUUAUCUUUGUUUUCAGCAAUUAACUUGCCGACCUGCUUGAAUACCCAACAAUCCCUAUUGGUGUGGUUGGCUGGCUUGUCGGGGGUGCCGUGUAUUUGACACGAGGGAUCGAGUAUGCGAUCCAAACUGGACGGGCCUGGAGUGCUUCUUUUAAAUGGCUUUUUCCGCUGACCGGGUUUAGAGCCUUUGAAUCCGGCAUUGACUGCCAUAUCCUCGGUAUUGUCGCUGUUAAUGCGGCGCUUAUGUUUACUUUGACGUGACCUGCCAUUGCCGUCCUUGGUAUCCAAAGUACCACGGUUCUUUGAUAUGUUAUUACUGCGAGCCAGCCAACUGUCUUCUCCCGCACAAAAGCGGGUCAUGAGUGUCGUGAGGACUGCCAUAGAUUUUGGCUUUUCCUGACCAAGGUGCCGGGCUAGCCACUUGUCGCGGAUGUUGUGUUUGAAAGCUUCUGGACAGUCGACGAUUUGAUUUUUCUUUGUUAGGAACCGAGUCUAGAAUUGCCUGGCCGAUUCUUCUGGCUGUUGAAUUAUGUGUCUCAAGUCAUCGGCAUCUGGUGGUCGCACAUAAGUGCCCUGAAAGUUGUCGAGGAAUGCAGCCUCCAGAUCUUCCCAACAGCUAAUGGACUCUGCUGGCAAGCUGUUAAGCCAAUGACGCGCUGGUCCUUUGAGCUUUAGUGGGAGGUAUUUGAUGGCGUGUAAGUCGUCACCGCGGGCCAUGUGGAUGUGGAGGAGAAAAUCCUCGAUCCAUACCGCAGGAUCUGUUGUGCUGUCGUAUGAUUCUAUAUUUACGGGUUUGAAACCCUCUAGGAUUUGAUGAUCCAUGACUUCGUCUGUGAAGCAUAAGGGGUGUGCGGUGCCUCUGUAUUGGGCUAUAUCGUGACGCAGCUCGAAUGGGUCUUGCCCACUGUGUUCGGCCCGGCCGGAUUUACUUUUACUGUAUCCGGCAUGACGUUUAUCGUCUCGCAUAGUGGCGUGCCCUCGUGAUCCGUAGAUCGACCUUGCAUGAUUUUAUUUGUCCUCCAAUACGUCUCGCAGGUCUGGCAUAUUUCCCCAUGCCUUUUUAUUUGAAUGAUGUCGGGGUGCGGGCUGAGUUUUUGGCUGGAAUGCCUCUCUAUCAUGGCCACGAGGUGGCCGAUCAGCCGCAUCAUACGCUUCUUCCUCCAGUCAGGGUAACAACCUGCAUUUUGGGUAACUCUUGGAGGGGCGUUCGAGUUUAUAUUCCUUGGCCGCGAGGACUUCAGUCCAUCUGUCAGCUAGCAGAUCUUGAUCAGCUUGAAGCUGCUGCUGCUUUUUCUUAAGGCUAUUCGCCGUGGCCAUAAGCCGGCGCUUGAAGCGCUCUUGUUCGACGGGAUCCUCUAGCACGGCGAAUUCGUCAUCGCCGAGGCUUGCCUCGUCUUUGGAGGGGGGCAUGUAAUUAUCAUCCUCCGCCUCUCCAUCUGCCGCUCUCUCAGGAGGGCUGGCUCCUCCAUCUUCCUGCUCUAAAUAUUGCUGGAGGGGAUUGUUGUUGUCUUCUGCACUAUCCGGAGUGUUAUUAUCUCUUGUGCCGGUAUCACCACAUUUGCUUUGGCGGGACUUAGAGCGGCGCCGCUGACAUUGGCGCUUGGGUUGCUACUUGGAGGGGUCAUCCUCCGCUGUCUCGUCGCCAUUGCCUUCUUUGGGUGUGUCCACUAUGUAUAUAUCGUAUGAUGAGGUGGCUGUCCAGUGCCUUGUGGGCAGUGGUUCCUCUUCGUCUCCCGCAUCGUCGUCCAUACCGUCGAUGUCUUAAGAUUCGAAGUCGAGCAUGUCGGUUAAGUCAUCGACAGUGGCUACUAAGUGGGUGGUGCGUGGGCCGCGAAUUUCUUCGUCGUCCGCAUCCCAAUCCUGCCGGACAUAGUUCGGCCAGGAUCCUCCUGACAAGGAGAGAGACCUUAAUGAGUUCAGUAUGUCACCAAAGGGCGAGUGCUGAAAAAUAUCCGCGGAGGUAAACUCCAUGAUCGGCGCCCAAUCAGAUUCGCUAGGAACGAGCGCAGGCGGUUCGGAGUCCAUGGCCGUAGAAGGAUCCGGCAGUUUGACAAUGCGGCUGACGUGUAGGGUAAGGUCAAUGUCAGGCUCGAUCGCCGAUGAGGAUAAGGCUUCCGUGGCAGGGUCCAUCCACUCGUCCGUGGAAGGCGCAACUGGCUCCGAAUUGAGGGUCGGAGCGGCUGCCGGUGCGAUCUCCUGAACACUGUCUGAUGGUAGAGCUAAAUCAUACUCAUCGUGACCGCGUGACGCACAAGGCAGAGGCUCGAAUCCAUCGAAGAUCAAGUCUCCGCGGAUAUCGGCCGUGUAGUUUAAGCUUCCAAAUCCGACCUGGUGGCCAGGGGCGUAACUUCCGAUCUGCUCCAGAUGGCCACGCGAGUUGGCCCGCAGUGCGAAGCCACCGAACACAAAGAUCUGUCCGGGGAGAAAAGUCUCACCCUGGACUGCAUCGCUAUCGAUGAUUGCAGGAGCCAUCAAGCCUAACGGUGACAACACAGAGGAACUCUCAAUGAAAGCACCAAUGUCGGUGUCAAAACCGGCGGAUCUCGGGUAGGGGGUCCCGAACUGUGCGUCUAAGGCGGAUGGUAACAGGAGGCAGAGAACAUGAUGUUUUACCCAGGUUCGGGCCCUCUUGAUGGAGGUAAAACCCUACGUCCUGCUUGAUUAAUAUUGAUGAUAUGGGUAGUACAAGAGUAGAUCUACCACGAGAUCAGAGAGGCUAAACCCUAGAAGCUAGCCUAUGGUAUGAUUGUAUAUCGUCCUACGGACUAAAACCCUCCGGUUUAUAUAGACACCGGAGAGGGUUAGGUUUACAGAAGGUCGGUUACAAAGGAGGAGAUAUCCAUAUCCGUACUGCCUAGCUUGCCUUCCACGCCAAGUAGAGUCCCAUCCGGACACGAGACAAGGUCUUCAAUCUUGUAUCUUCAUAGUCCAACAGUCCGGCCAAAGGAUAUAGUAUGGCUGUCCGAAGACCCCCUAAUCCAAGACUCCCUCACACAAUAAUGAUUCUAACACCCUUGGAGCCUUGGUGUUGAUCAUGUUUUGAUCGUGGAAGAGGCUUAGUCCACGGGUCUGCAACAUUCAGAUCCGUAUGUAUCUUGCAAAUCUCUAUGUCUCCCACCUGGACUUGAUCCCGGAUGGAGUUGAAGCGUCUCUUGAUGUGCUUGGUUCUCUUGUGAAAUCUGGAUUCCUUUGCCAAGGCAAUUGCACCAGUAUUGUCACAAAAGAUUUUCAUUGGACCCGAUGCACUAGGUAUGACACCUAGAUCGGAUAUGAACUCCUUCAUCCAGACUCCUUCAUUUGCUGCUUCUGAAGCAGCUAUGUACUCCGCUUCACACGUAGAUCCCGCCACAACGCUUUGUUUAGAACUGCACCAACUGACAGCUCCACCCUUCAAUGUAAACACGUAUCCGGUUUGUGAUUUAGAAUCGCCCGGAUCCGUGUCAAAGCUUGCAUCGACGUAACCAUUUACGACUAGCUCUUUGUCACCUCCAUAAACGAGAAACAUUUCCUUAGUCCUUUUUAGGUAUUUUAGGAUGUUUUUGACCACUAUCCAGUGAUCCACUCCUGGAUUACUUUGGUACCUCCCUGCUAAACUUAUAGCAAGGCACACAUCAGGUCUGGUACACAGCAUUUCAUACAUGAUAGAUAGGGAACAUCUUUCAUCUUCUCUCUGUCUUCUGCAGUGGUCGGGCAUUGAGUCUUACUCAACUUCAUGUCUUGUAACACAGGCAAGAACCCUUUCUUUGCUUGAUCCAUUUUGAACUUCUUCAAAAAACUUUGUCAAGGUAUGUGCUUCGUGAAAGUCCAAUUAAGCGUCUUGAUCUAUCUCUAUAGAUCUUGAUGCCCAAUAUAUAAGCAUCUUCACCGAGGUCCUUCGUUGAAAAACUCUUAUUCAAGUAUCCCUUUAUGAUAUCCAGAAAUUCUAUAUCAUUUCCAAUCAGCAAUAUGUCAUCCACAUAUAAUAUCAGAAAUGUUACAUAGCUCCCACUCACUUUCUUGUAAAUACAGUUUCUCCAAAAGUCUGUAUAAAACCACAUGCUUUGAUCACACUAUCAAAAUGUUUAUUCCAACUCCGAGAGGCUUGCACUAGUCCAUAAAUGGAUCGCUAGAGCUUGCACACUUUUUAUCUCCCUUUGGAUCGACAAAACCUUUUGGUUGCAUCAUAUACAACUCUUCUUCCAGAAAUCCAUUCAGGAAUGCAGUUUUGACAUCCAUUUGCCAAAUUUCAUAAUUAUAAAAUGCAGCAAUUGCUAACAUGAUUCAGACAGACUUAAGCAUCGCUACGGGUGAAAAAGUCUCAUCGUAGUCAAUCCCUUGAACUUGUCGAAAAACUUUUGCAACAAGUCGAGCUUUAUAGAUAGUAACAUUACCGUCAGCGUCAGUCUUCAUCUUGAAGAUCCAUUUAUUUUCAAUGGCUUGCCGAUCAUCGAGCAAGUCAACCAAAGUCCACACUUUGUUCUCAUACAUGGAUCCCAUCUCAGAUUUCAUGGCCUCAAGCCAUUUUGCAGAAUCUGGGCUCACCAUCGCUUCUUCAUAGUUCGUAGGUUCGUCAUGGUCUAGCAACAUAACCUUCGGAACAAGAUUACUGUACCACUCUGGUGCGGAUCUCACUCUGGUUGAUAUACGAGGUUCAGUAACAACUUGAUCUGAAGUUUCAUGAUCGUCAUCAUUAACUUCCUCACUAAUUGGUGUAGGUGUCACAGGAUCCGGUUUCUGUGAUGAACUACUUUCCAAUAAGGGAGUAGGUACGGUUACCUCAUCAAGUUCUACUUUCCUCCCACUCACUUCUUUCAAGAGAAACUCCUUCUCUAGAAAGGAUCCAAAUUUAGCAACAAAAGUUUUGCCUCCAGAUCUGUGAUAGAAGGUGUACCCAACAGUUUCCUUUGGGUAUCCUAUGAAGACACAUUUCUCCGAUUUGGGUUCGAGCUUAUCAGUUUGAAGUUUUUUCACAUAAGCAUCGCAGCCCCAAACUUUAAGAAAUGACAACUUUGGUUUCUUGCCAAACAACAGUUCAUAAGGCGUCGUCUCAACGGAUUUCGAUGGUGCCCUAUUUAACAUGAAUGGAGCCGUCUCUAAAGCAUAACCCCAAAAUGAUAGCGGUAAAUCAGUAACAGACAUCAUAGAUCACACCAUAUCUAGUAAAGUACGAUUACGACAUUCGGACACACCAUUACGCUGUGGUGUUCCGGGUGGCGUGAGUUGCGAAACUAUUCCACAUUGUUUCAAAUGAAGACCAAACUCGUAACUCAAAUAUUCUCCUCCACGAUCAGAUCGUAGAAACUUUAUUUUCUUGUUACGAUGAUUUUCAACUUCACUCUAAAAUUCUUUGAACUUUUCAAAUGUUUCAGACUUAUGUUUCAUUAAGUAGAUAUACCCAUAUCUGCUUAAAUCAUCUGUGAAGGUGAGAAAAUAACGAUACCCGCCGCGAGCCUCAACAUUCAUCGGACCACAUACAUCUGUAUGUAUCAUUUCCAACAAAUAUGUUGCUCGCUCCAUAGUUCCGGAGAACGGCGUUUUAGUCAUCUUGCCCAUGAGGCACGCUUCACAAGUACCAAGUGAUUCAUAAUCAAGUGGUUCCAAAAGUCCAUCAGUAUGGAGUUUCUUCAUGUGCUUUACACCAAUAUGACCUAAACGGCAGUGCCACAAAUAAGUUGCACUAUCAUUAUCAAUUCUGCAUCUUUUGGCUUCAAUAUUAUGAAUAUGUGUAUCACUACUAUCGAGAUUCAAUAAGAAUAGACCACUCUUCAAGGGUGCAUGACCAUAAAAGAUAUUACUCAUAUAAAUAGAACAACCAUUAUUUUCUGAUUUAAAUGAAUAACCGUCUCGCAUCAAACAAGAUCCAGAUAUAAUGUUCAUGCUCAAUGCUGGCACCAAAUAACAAUUAUUCAGGUCUAAAACUAAACCCGAAGGUAGAUGUAGAGGUAGCAUGCCGACCGCAUCACAUCGACUUUGGAACCAUUUCCCACACGCAUCGUCACCUCGUCCUUAGCCAAUCUUCACUUAAUCCGUAGUCCCUGUUUUGAUUUGCAAAUAUUAGCAACAGAACCAGUAUCAAAUACCCAGGUGCUACUGCGAGCAUUAGUAAGGUACACAUCAAUAACAUGUAUAUCACAUAUACCUUUGUUCACCUUGCCAUCCUUCUUAUCCGCCAAAUGCUUGGGGCAGUUCCGCUUCCAGUGACCAGUCUGUUUGCAGUAGAAGCACCCAGUUUCAGGCUUAGGUCUAGACUUGGGUUUCUUCUCUUGAGCAUCAACUUUUUUGCCGUUCUUCUUGAAGUUCCCCUUCUUCUUCCCUUUACCCUUUUUCUUGAAACUAGUGGUCUUGUUGACCAUCAACACUUGAUGCUCCUUUUUGAUUUCUACCCCCGCAGCCUUUAGCAUCGCGAAGAGCUCGGGAAUUGUCUUAUUCAUCCCUUGCAUAUUAUAGUUCAUCACGAAGCUUUUAUAGCUUGGUGGCAGUGAUUGAAGAACUUUGUCAAUGACACUAUCAACAGGAAGAUUAACUCCCAGUUGAGUCAAGUGAUUAUGAUACCCAGACAGUUUGAGUAUAUGUUCACUGACAGAACUAUUCUCCUCCAUCUUGCAGCUAUAGAACUUAUUGGAGACUUCAUAUAUCUCAAUCCGUGCAUUUGCUUGAAAUAUUAACUUCAACUACUGGAACAUCUCAUAUGCUCCAUGACGUUCAAAAUGUCAUUGAAGUCCCGGUUCUAAGCCGUAAAGCAUGGCACACUGAACUAUCGAGUAGUCAUCAGCUUACUCUGCCAGACGUUCUUAACAUUAUCAGCAGCAUCUGCAGCAGGCCUGGCACCCAGCGGUGCUUCCAGGACGUAAUUCUUCUGUGCAGCAAUGGGGAUAAUCCUCAAGUUACGGACCCAGUCCGUGUAAUUGCUACCAUCAUCUUUCAACUUUGCUUUCUCAAGGAACACAUUAAAAUUUAACGGAACAACAGCACGGGCCAUCUAUCUACAAUCAACAUAGACAAGAAAAAUACUAUCAGGUAUUAAGUUCAUGAUACAUUUAAGUUCAAUUAAUCAUAUUACUUAAGAACUCCCACUUAGAUAGACAUCUCUCUAAUCCUCUAAGUGAUCACGAGAUCCAAAUCAACCAAACCAUGUCCGAUUAUCACGUGAGAUGGAGUAGUUUCAAUGGUGAACAUCACUAUGUUGAUCAUAUCUACUAUAUGAUUCACGCUUGACCUUUCAGUCUCAGUGUUCCGAGGCCAUAUCUGCAUAUGCUAGGCUCGUCAAGUUUAACCUGAGUAUUCCGCGUGUGCAAAUGUUUUGCACCAGUUGUAUUUGAACGUAGAGCCUAUCACACCCGAUCAUCACAUGGUGUCUCAGCACGAAGAACUUUCGCAACGGUGCAUACUCAGGGAGAACACUUAUACCUUGAUAAUUUAGUGAGAGAUCAUCUUAUAAUGCUACCGUCAAUCAAAGCAAGAUAAGAUGCAUAAAAGAUAAUCAUCACAUGCAAUCAAUAUAAGUGAUAUGAUAUGGACAUCAUCAUCUUGUGCUUAUGAUCUUCAUCUUCGAAGCAUCGUCAUGAUCACCAUUGUCACCAGCGCGACACCUUGAUCUCCAUCAUAGCAUCGUUGUCGUCUCGCCAACUAUUGCUUCUACGACUAUCGCUACCGCAUAGUGAUAAAGUAAAGCAAUUACAGGGCGAUUGCAUUGCAUACAAUAAAGCGACAACCAUAUGGCUCCUGCCAGUUGCCGAUAACUCGGUUACAAAACAGGAUCAUCUCAUACAAUAAAAUAUAGCAUCAUGUCUUGACCAUAUCACAUCACAACAUGCCCUGCAAAAACAAGUUAGACGUCCUCUACUUUGUUGUUGCAAGUUUUACGUGGCUGCUAUGGGCUAAGAAAGAACAGUUCUUACCUACGCAUCAAAACCACAACGAUAGUUCGUCAAGUUAGUGCUGUUUUAACCUUCUCAAGGACCGGGCGUAGCCACACUCAGUUCAACUAAAGUUGGAGAAACUGACACCCGCCAGCCACCUAUGUGCAAAGCACGUCGGUAGAACCAGUCUCGCGUAAGCGUACGCGUAUUGUCGAUCCAGGCCGCUUCAGCCAACAAUACCGCCGAACCAAAGUAUGACAUGCUGGUAAGCAGUAUGACUUGUAUCGCCCACAACUUAGUUGUGUUCUACUCGUGCAUAUAACAUCUACGCAUAAAACCAGGCUCGGAUGCCACUGUUGGGAAUGUAGUAAUUUCAAAAAAAUUCAUACGCACACACAGGAUCAUGGUGAUGCAUAGCAACAAGAGGGGAGAGUGUUGUCCACGUACCCUCGUAGACCGAAAGAGGAAGCGUUUGCACAAUGCGGUUGAUGUAGUCGUACGUCUUCACGAUCCGACCGAUCAAUUACCGAACGUACGACACCUCCGAGUUCAGCACACGUUCAGCUCGAUGACGUCCCUCAAACUCCGAUCCAGCCGAGCUUUGAGGGAGAGUUCCAUCAGCACGACGGUGUGGUGAUGAUGAUGAUGUUCUACCAACGCAGGGCUUCGCCUAAGCACUGCUACGAUAUUAUCGAGGUGGACUAUGGUGGAGGGGGGCACCGCACACGGCUAAGAGACCCAAGAGAUCAAUUGUUGUGUCUAGAGGUGCCCUUGCCCCCGUAUAUAAAGGAGCAAGGGGGGAGAGGCGGCCGGCCAGGAGGAGGCGCGCCAGGGAGGAGUCCUACUCCCAGGACUCCCUCCUUUCCUAGUUGGAGUAGCAGAAGGGCAAAGGAGGAGGGAGAGAGGAAGGAAAGGGGGGCGCCACCCCCUCCUUGUCCAAUUCGGACUAGAAGGAGAGGGGGCGCGCGACCUGCCCUGGACGCCCCUCCUAUUCUCCACUAAGGCCCAUCUUGGCCAAUUAACCCCCCCCAGGGGGGAGGGUUCCGGUAACCCCCGAUACUCCGGUAAAAUCCCGAUUUCACCCGGAGCAUUUCCGAUAUCCAAAUAUAGGCUUCCAAUAUAUCAAUCUUUAUGUCUCGACCAUUUCGAGACUCCUCGUCAUGUCCGUGAUCACAUCCGGGACUCCGAACUUCCUUCGGUACAUCAAAACACAUAAACUCAUAAUAUAACCGUCAUCUAACUUUAAGCGUACAGACCCUACGGGUUCGAGAACUAUGUAGACAUGACCGAGACACAUCUCCGGUCAAUAACCAAUAGCAGAACCUGGAUGCUCAUAUUGGCUCCUACAUAUUCUGCGAAGAUCUUUAUCAGUCAAACCGCAUAACAACAGACGUUGUUCCUUUUGUCACCGGUAUGUUACUUGCCCAAGAUUCGAUCAUCGGUAUCACAAUACCUAGUUCAAUCUCGUUACCGACAAGUCUCUUUACUCAUUCUAUAACACAUCAUCCGCAACUAACUCAUUAGUUACAAUGCUUGCAAGGCUUAAGUGAUGUGUAUUACCGAGUGGGCCCAGAGAUACCUCUCCGACAAUCGGAGUGACAAAUCCUAAUCUCGAAAUACGCCAACCCAACAAGUACCUUCGGAGACUCCUGUAGAGCACCUUUAUAAUCACCUAGUUACAUUGUGACGUUUGGUAGCAUACAAAGUGUUCCUCCGGUAAACGGGAGUUGCAUAAUCUCAUGGUCAUAGGAACAUGUAUAAGUCAUGAAGAAAGCAAUAGCAACAAACUAAGCGAUCAAGUGCUAAGCUAAUGGAAUGGGUCAAGUCAAUCACAUCAUUCUCCUAAUGAUGUGAUCUCGUUAAUCAAAUGACAACUCUUUGUCUAUGGCUAGGAAACAUAACCAUCUUUGAUCAACGAGCUUGUCAAGUAGAGGCAUACUAGUGAAACUCUGUUUGUCUAUGUAUUCACACAUGUAUCAUGUUUCCGGUUAAUACAAUUCUAGCAGGAAUAAUAAACAUUUAUCAUGAUAUAAGGAAAUAAAUAAUAACUUUAUUAUUGCCUCUGGGGCAUAUUUCCUUCACCAUUCUCAUGAACGCGGUCAUGUAGUGUCGGUCCGGGCCGCUUCAUCCAACAAUACCGCUGAAUCAAAGUAAGAUGUUGGUGGUAAGCAGUAUGACUAUUAUCGCCCACAACUCUUUAUGUUCUACUCGUGCAUAUAUCAUCUACGCAUAGACUUGGCUCGGAUGCCACUGUUGGGGAACACAAUAUUUCAAAUUUUUUCCUACGAUCAUGCAAGAUCUAUCUAGGAGAUGCAUAGCAACAAGAAGGGAGAGUGUGUCCACGUACCCCCGUAGACCGAAAGCGGAAGCAUUUAGUAACGUGGUUGAUGUAGUCGAACGUCUUCACAAUCCAACCGAUCCAAGUACCAAACGUAUGACACCUCCGUGUUCAGCACACGUUCAACACGAUGACGUCCCUCGAGCUCUUGAUCCAGUUGAGGACGAGGGAGAUUUCCAUCAGCACGACGGUGUGGCGACGAUGAUGAUGAAGUUACCAACGUAGGGCUUCACCUAAGCACUACAAUGAUAUGACCGAGGUGUUGAACUGUGGAGGGGGCACCACACACGGCUAAGAGAUUGUCUGUUGUGCUAUUGGGGUGCCCCCUGGCCACAUAUAUAAACGAGGGAGGGAGAGAGGAGGCCGGCCAGGAAGGGCGCGCCAGGGGGGAGUCCUACUUGGACUCCUAGUCCAAGAGUCCAAGUAGGAUUCGCCCCCCCUUUUCCUUUAUUCCACCGGUGGGAAAGGAAGGAGGGGAGAAGGAAAAGGAAGGAGGGGUCCGCACCCCCACCCCUUGUCCAAUUCGGUUUGGGCAAGGGGAGGCGCACACCACCUCGUGGCCCUUCUUCCCUCUCUCCACUAAAGCCCACUAAGGCCCAUUAACUCCCUCGGGGGGUUCCGGUAACCUCCCGGUGCUCCGGAAAAAUCCCCGAACUACUCGAAACCAUUCUGAUGUCCAAAUGCAACCUUCCAAUAUAUGAAUCUUUGCCUCUCGACCAUUUCGAGACUCCUCAUCAUGUCCGUGAUCUCAUGCGGGACUCCGAACAAACUUCGGUCAUCAAAUCACAUAACUCAUAAUACAAAUCGUCAUCGAACGUUAAGCGUGCGGACCCUACGGGUUCGAGAACUAUGUAGACAUGACCGAGACACAUCUCUGGUCAAUAACCAAUAGUGGAACCUGGAUGCUCAUAUUGGCUCCUACAUAUUCUACGAAGAUCUUUAUCGGUAAAACCGCAUAACAACAUACGUCAUUCCCAUUUGUCAUCGGUAUGUUACUUGCCCGAGAUUCGAUUGUCGGUAUCAUCAUACCUAGUUCAAUAUCGUUACCGGCAAGUAUCUUUACUCGUUCCGUAAUGCAUCAUCCCAUAACUAACUCAUUAGUCACAUUGCUUGCAAGGCUUAUAGUGAUGUUCAUUAUUGAGAAGACCCAAAGAUACCUCUCCGAUACACGAAGUGACAAAUUCUAAUCUCGAUCUAUGCCAACUCAACAAACACCAUCAGAGACACCUGUAGAGAAUCUUUAUAAUCACCCAGUUAUGUUGUGACGUUUGAUAUCACACAAGAUGUUCCUUUGGUAUUCAGGAGUUGCAUAAUCUCAUAGUCAGAGGAACAUGUAUAAGUCAUGAAGAAAGCAAUAGCAAUAAAACUAAAUGAUCAUUAUGCUAAGCUAACAGAUGGUCUUGUCCAUCACAUCAUUCUCUAAUGAUGUGACCCCGUUCAUCAAAUGACAUCACAUGUCUAUGGUCAGGAAACUUAACCAUCUUUGGUUAACGAGCUAGUCAAGUAGAGGCAUACUAGGGAUACUCUGUUUGUCUAUGUAUUCACACAUGCACUAAGUUUCCGGUUAAUACAAUUCUAGCAUGAAUAAUAAACAUUUAUCAUGAUAUAAGGAAAUAUAAAUAACAACUUUAUUAUUGCCUCUAGGGCAUAUUUCCUUCACCAAGACCAAAUGGUCCUUGGGAGGGGCUGGCAAUACUUCUGCCGCCGUUAUAGGAUCGUCCUCGACGGCCUCCUUGUCCUGCGGUUCUCUGGCCUUGGCAUGAAGGUGCAAAUCUUCAAGCAGAAUAACUCCAUCAUGUGUAGGGUCCGCUGUCAGCAGCACAACUGCAUCAACAACAUCAGUCUUGCCCUCUAGAUCGCCCAUUAUUUUGAAGUAGUUAGUAUGAUCUUGUUAGUGUUGAUGGUUUGAACUUGUGUUAUGAAACCGUCUAUAUUUUGCCCAGGGAUUAACACCCUAGGGUUGCGCGAUGUCCCUGUUGUCUUAAAAAUUAUCCCCUACUAAUAUACAUUGUUUAUCGGUUGUUUAUAUGCCGUGUGCUUUAAUUAGGUAGUGAUGUUUCUAUAUAUGUGAUGUUUGUUCUUGUGUUGCAUUUGAGUGGUAGACCACCACAUUUGAAAGGGGUGAGCAUAACAAAUACGUGCACACAGCCAAACAACUAUGGUUUGCAUCUGCUCACCCCUGAAGUAAAAAUGCGGGCAACCAAACAACAAACCCUAAAAAAUCAUUGAUGAAGAAAAAAUUACCACCGGAGCCUACCAGUGAGCCCCAGUUUGCAUAGCCCUCCAUUUAAAAUAAUACAUGGGGGUCCUCACCUCCAUCUAAAAAGGAAAAAACAUUUCAAAAAGAAUCCUCACCUCCAUCUAUUUUUUUCCAAAAGCUUUCUCACUGCGGUCAACUAGCUUACGCCACAUGGCAUAGCUGAUUGGCCGCUUUCUUCCUACACUUAAUGCGUUUUCUAUAGUAACACGUCUGCUACGUUGGCUAAAAUCACCCGCACACUGUUGCAGGGUGGGCCGGGCCGCGUUUGAUCGAGCGGUGAGCAUUCGGCCACUCGUUUCAACCUGAAAUUGCGCGUGCACUUUUAAGAUUUUAGGAAAAAUUUAUCACGCUAUAUCCAAAUAUACCCUGUACUUAGCUGCAAAUGAUCACGAAGCACGCCAACAUGCAUUCCGUUUUCCCUGAAUUUGCGUGCAUACCUCCAUACGGGCACGGGUGUUGUGCUUCAGCAUAUCUGUACUGACACGCUGACCCACCCUGGACCACGCAAACCUCUCCGAAGACUGCGUACACCCGGUGCAUAGGGUCCACAACGAACUUGAAAACCUAUAGUCAGAAGGUUAUUGCCAUGUGGGACGCCUCCUAGCCGCCUGAUGAGGAGCUGGGGUCAGGAGAAUAGACAGUCGAUGGGGGCAUGGGGCGCCGUCCCCAUCUAUAUCAGGCGCAGACCCCCUGACCCAUCUCUAAUACAGGCAUUUCUCCACAGAAGAGCCAGAGACUACUCCCCUUCUUCUUGCUUUGCUUGCCCCAUCUCUACCGUAGGUGUUCCUUCUGCCAUUGAUCCGAUCCGACCUCGGAGGCCGCGUUGAUGGCUGAAGGGAGUGCCUAUUUUGAUUGGGACAUGGCAGCCUCGGGGGCCGGGAACCACUUGACGAGCUUCGACCAUGGCGGUGUUGCGCAACACUUUGUCCAUAUUGAUGGUGGUGCUUCAGCCGGGGUGGUCGUCGUCUCGGGUGCCGGAUCAAGGGCUUCUGGUGGCAUCAGGGAGAUGGAUCCCACCAGCUUCCUCGGCUAUGGGAGCAGCAACGCCCCUGCGGCAAUCGCGGUGCCUGCUCGGGCGCUGCUGCGUGCCAGAUCCAGCGGCCAGGGGCUGACACGGUUCAAAGGGUCGUGGGCCAUGGAGGAAGACACGUAUGUGGAAAAUCCAACCCUAAAUUGCAAACCUUUUUCUUUGUCCUUCAUCUGCUGCAGCUUCGUCAGUUUUCUUUGUGAUUUUGUUGUAGGCUGCUCAGGGCGAAGGUGCAGGAAUUCGGCAAAGGGAGGUGGGUGAAGGUCGCGCUGUACCUCCCCGACCGAAGCGGGAAGCAAUGUCGGGAGAGAUGGAUCAACCAACUUGACCCCAACAUUGAGGUGAUCUUGCCAAAUUUAAAUUUCUUAACUUCCUAGCCCCUACUAGCAGCUUGUUUCUGGGGAAUUUUGAUGAUCUGUGAUUGAGUGUGCUUACGGAAAGAAAUUAUUCAUUGCGUUAAUCUGAUUCGUCACCAUUCAGAUGUGGGUAUUAACUUCCAGAUAAAUAGUUAGUAGUCUUGUAUGUCUUUAGUCUAAUCAGUAAAUGUGGCAAUUAAUUUCUUCAUUUACGCCACUAAAUGAUCACCCAAGUAAUUUUCUGAAGAAAAAGAAUUACAGGGAAGCAAUUUUCUAAAAUUAAUAGGGAUUGAUGUUCUUGCCCAUGCAUUAGCAUUUGAAAUGUGUACAAGGAUUCUGUGUUCAAUCCGUAAAUAAAUAAAAUUACUUGCACUUACAAAUGUGGAAAUUUACUACUCCAUCCGUUCACGAAGAUAAGCUGUUUUGGAUAUUUCAAUAUGGACUACACGGACUGAAAUAAGUUAACAAACACGGUAAAACAAAUCUAUAUACUUACAAUUCGAAAAAAGUUAGAACAUCUUAUAUUUGUGCAUGGAGGGCGUAAUUGACACGGUGUCUCAUUUUUUAAACUAGAUAAUUGUUUGUGCAUUGCAACAGGAGUAUAAUUAUUCUCAUAGAUUAGCACGUCAUUGCACGUCUAUUAUUACAUUAGUGUGCUAUAAUCUUAGCCAGAUUUUGUAUGCAAUUGUCAUGAUUUACGUGCUAGGUUAUUGUUAAGCACUUAUUUGGUAAGAAUUUAUUGACUUACCAAAGAAAAUAUUAUUUAUAAGAAAGAUCGGAGAUGGGAGUCAAAAUAUCAUCUCAUUGUUAAGCACUUAUUUGGUAAAAAAAUAUUGAUUUACAAAAAAUGUUAUUAUCUAAGAGAAAAAUGAGAUAAUGGGAGAAGAAAAAAAUCAAAUAGGAGAAUGGAAGGGGGAACCACAUAUAGAUAGAGGUUGGACGAAGGAGACACUGAAAUGGGAACCUUAGGUUCUUUUUAACUAGUAUAGAAGAGAUUCUUAGCCACUAAGUGAUCACCUAAUUAAAAAAUAUUUCUUGAUUAUUUGCCAAAUUAUUGCUUCUACCUAUUUGUGAGUAGCCACAAUUUGAUAUCCCUAAAGUAAGAGUCAAUGUACUAGCCCACAAAUUAGCAUUUGAGGCGUGGUACUUUCAUUAGUUGAAUCAUAUGAUUAUACAUCCAAAAGUUUGCACCUAUUAAUUUGGCCACUAUUCGAAAGUGGGUAUUAACUCCCGAAAAAAUAGUUAGUAGGAUUGCAUGUCUUUAGUCUACUCAGUAAAUGUGGUAAUUACUUUCUUCAUUUAGGCCACUAAUUGACCACCCAUAUAAUUUUGGGAAAUUAGUAGGGAUCGAUUCUUGGCCACUAAGUUAUCACCAAAUUAAAAAAAUAUGUUGAUUAUUAGUCAAAUUGUUGCUUCUACCUAUUUGUGAGUUGCCACAAUUUGAUAUCCCUAAAGUAAGAGUCGGUGUUCUAGACCACAAAUUAGCAUUUGAGAUGUAGUACUUUCACUAGUUGAAUCAUAUGAUUAUACGUCCAAAAGUCUGCACCUAUAGUUUGGUCACCAUUCGGAGGUGGGUAUUAACUCCCAAAAAAUAGUUAGUAGUAUUGCAUGUCUUUAGUCUACACAGUAAAUGUGGUAAUUACUUUAUUCAUUUAGGUCACUAAUUGACUACCUAAGUAAUUUUGGGAAAUUAGUAGGGACCAAUGUUCAUGCCCACACAUUAGCAUUUGAUAUGUGUACAAGAAUUAUGUGUUCAAUCCGUAAAUAAAGAACCACACUUGCACUUACAAAUAUCCAAAUUUUCUAAUUGACAUGGUGUGUCCUAAUUUUUAAAUUCUUUGCCACUAAGUGGUCGCCCAAGUGUUACCGAAUUUGGUGUGCAAUAGCCAGUGACCGUUCGCUGUCCAGGAUGGCAUUUGUAAACGGUGCGACUGGCAGUUUUAGUGUUGGGGGAUGGCAUCUUUGAUAACAACAAAAAGCAUGUCAUUUUGUUUAUUUAGUGCAUUUUCAUCAAAAACCUGCCACCCUCAGAUCUUGAUCCCGUGUUCUGUGGGUCAUUUGCUGGGAUUUCGUCCCCAGGAACAUUCCCCAAAUAGAGAUAAGAUUACCGAUUCUCUUUUGUCGUGGUUAUUUGUCAAAUUAUUGCUGCUACAUAUUUGAGACUUGUCUCAAUUUGGUAUUUCCUAAAGUAAGAGCCGUUCCAGCACACAAAUUGCAUUUUAGAUGUGGUACUUUUAUUAGUUCAAUCAUAUAGACAAAACAAGUCACAUGCUGAUAGUCAGAUACACAUGUUCCAAAAAUUUGAUGUUGUUUAUUUGUGAAAUUGUUGCUUUUUGCUUAUUAUGGUUUUCCUGAAUUUGGUGAAUAUGAGUAGAUGUUCCUGUUCUGUGUUAUCAUUUGAGAGAUGUGCCGGCUGCAAAACACUCGAGCUCCCUCAACUCCCUCCAGACUGGACUGACUGCGCAAGGCGGACCCUACUUCGGUAUGCAGGCGCGGCCUGCUUCGCCGGAUGUGCACAUCACCAGCCCGUGCACCAAGCCUCCUUACCCACUGCCAUGAGCCCUAUGAUGAGUUAUGCAUGCCAUCAAUCCAUGCACCGAGCAUCCCCCCACGUUCCUCUUUAGGCCUGAUGAAGAAUCACACACCCAUCGUCACGCCUCGCUUCCCGACAUUCCCAAUGCUCUUGGACAACAACCCAAUGACGAUGGAGAUGGAUGCUUUGCAUGCUAGUUGAGCUCCCGGUAGGGCUCUGCCCUGGCGCACCACUUUUUGUGCCGGUGUUGCCUCCCAUUCUCCCUGCUACUAGUUCCGCACCGCCCUGGUCACCCACAACAAGGAGGGAGACGCUCACGAAGGUCACAAACUUUGACAAGUCAGCAUAGCCCAUGCCUGUGUGCCAAUAACAGGGUCAUUCCCAUCGCCCAGCUCCUGCAAAGGCUUCUAUGCUAACGAAUGGGAGUCAUUGGCAAGGUUGAACAGGUCAAUGGGGAAGAGGUUGACUGCUUCGUGGCUCUGUUCCAGGAGAGGCUGCCAGACAUAGCGCCACACUCUGGACGCUUUUCAAACUUGAUUACGAUUUGGUGAUGGUUCGGUUUUUUGGAUGUGCUGGUGGGGCAUGAGUUCAAUAUGGUAUCUAAGCCAAGAGGUCUCAAGUUGAAGACCCUGCCAACGCAAUAUUAAACAAGAUUCUACAACCUACAUUGAUCCCACGCCUAAGGACUAAAAUAGCCUAGAUGUGAGGGGAAGUGUUGAAACAUAUUCCCGUCUCUCUUCACCAGUUCGGAUUUUUGGAUGAAAUGACUGGAGCAUGAAUACAAUAUGGAGGAUGCUUUGAUGGAACAUGGUGGCAAAGGUGUCCAUGUGAUGCCAUCGCUAGCGAGCGAGUAUGUCACGAGGACAUCCUAAUCCCUUCAUCCACCUAAUGUAGUAUUCAUGAUCCAUUACCCAUUCACUCCCAUGUUUGAGAUGAUGUAUAAGAUUUUUCCUCCUCCGCCCAUUGAUCCUUAGGUGAAAGUAACGAGUGUUAGGAUCUCCCUAGUUAAAAUUUGUGAUCCUCGAGAUUUGUCGCUUGGUUCCCAUGAACUAAUCCCUUUGUUCACCAAAUGAGUAUUUUGGGCUUAUUAGCCUUAUGCAUGUCAUGGCCAAGCUUAUUGAUAGAACCCUUUCCAUGAGGUUGGCUCUGCACAUGAAUGAUAUUGUUUCCAUUGCACAAAGUUCUUUCAUUAAGAGGAGAAGCACCCAUGAUAACUUCAUUUAUGUGCCCAAUGUGGCUAGAAGAUUUUACACAUCAAGACACAUAUGCUCCUCUUCAAGCUCAACAUAAAGAAGGCCUUGGAUUCCUUUAGGUGUGGCUAUUUUACUGAAAUGUUUAGUCACCAUGGCUUACAAGGCCACUUUCGGGGAUGGAUCUCGACUGUCCCCUACUUGACUUUUGCUCAAUGGGAUUGCCGAGGACCCGACGAAGCAUGGUCAUGGGCAUUUUCAGGGGUCCGAGCUCUCCAUUGACCCGUUGCACCAUAUAUUUAGCAAGUAUAUGACCUAAGGAAAACCUCAUCCUUUGGUGGAUUCGUGGUUCCCUUUACCUCGACAAUGUGGUUGUUUUAUGUGCCUCUAUCAAGCAAGAAGUCCAAUUCCUCUCCACCAUGGCUGCCUCUUUUGAGGAUACUACCAGCCUUGUUACAAAUUGCAGAAAGAGCCCUGUUGCACCUAUAUGGUGCAAUAACAACAACCUUGAUGGCACACUCUAGUCCUUCCCGCCAUGUUAUCCUUCCCCAUAUGUUACCUUGCACUAUCCCUCAUGGUCAAAAUAUUAAGGACGGUCCACUUGCAACACUUUGAAGAUUAAGCCGCUGGGAAAUUAGCACAUUAGAGAAGGAAUCAAGUUGAUACCGCGGGCCACAUGGUCUUGGUCAAGGCGGUGCUCAGGGCUGUGUCCAUACACCAUCUUACACUGUUUGACCCCCUUGUGGAGGUUUUCAAGAAGAUUGAUAGCUUGAGGUUUGCCUAUCUUUGGGCGAGGACAAACAAUGUGACCGGAGGCAAGUGCAAAAUUAACUGGGUGCAAGUUUGCAAGCUGGAGGAGUUUGCCGGCCGUAAAUUCUUAAUAUUGAAAGUUUGCCAUCGUGCUUUACUUACUAUGGUUAUGGCUUGACUAGGAUGACCCGCAAAGGGUGUGGUGCAGUAUGUGGAUGUCAUUCAACAAUGAUGAAGUGAUCUAUUAGUGGCGGCCACUUAGGUAUGAUUGGUGAUGGAACAAAAGCCAAAUUUUGGGAGUCAUCAUGGCUGGAGGGACGGGUGCAUAAAGAUAUCACACCAUUUAAAAAAAUCCUACAAGAAAGGUGGCAUUGUGGACAAGGUUUUAAGAGAAUUUUGGACAAAGGGAAUAUAUUAAUAUCGUGGAGAUACCAAUUACACCCAACCUCUGCAACAACGCAAUGUCGUAAAGACAUUAUGGAUGCACACAACCAAAAGACAAAAAGAAGAAGAAAAUUAGAUCCCGUAUAGUGAUCAAUUCCUUGUAGCUGCAUUACGAACCACCAGCUCGACAACACCCGAAGUCCAAAUUCUCCAAAAGCGAUGCCUUCAAGAAGGAAAUAGUGCACAUGAACCAUCAUUAUCCGUUCCUAGAUCUUAGGUUUUCACCCUGGAGAAGAUCCAUGCUCUCAAAACAAUGCCUUCAACAAGGUCACUGCCAAGAACUACCAAUUACGGCCAGGACUUGAGUUUUCAUCCAGAAAGCUAAGACUUUGUACUCCGCCUAUGCUGCCGCACCCACUUGCCGAUGGCGCUGCUACAAGUCAUGAAUCACCAAGCAAAGUCCUCAUCGCCACAAAGACCCGAUCUGCCAUUACUAGGCCUCAGACCUCAGCCACCAUGAUGUUCUUCACCACUCUCUUCAUCAUGGAAAUCGAAAUACCAACAUGUCCCAUAAUGUAACAGACAACGAAGCUUCACAUCACGCCCUCCUAAAGCCAAACGUUCUAAAAUAGGGGCGCACACGAGCAAAUCCCAUCUGAUCCAGCAAUCUACAGGCGUCAAACACCCAGUAGAAAACAAAACACCGGCGAAGCCUUCCAGAAGUCGUCAAUGGCCAAAUCAAUGAGGGCUCGCAUGAAGCAGAACAUCGUCUUGGCACCAGAAGAACCCUAGGACUGCUGCCAGAGGGGAACAAAUCUGGGUCGGGAACUCCAGAUCUGCAACCACCAGCCAUCAUGGCCGACCCCAUGCCGCCGUCACAACCAUGAUGGAAUAGCCGUCUGCUGCCUUGCCGGGUGCCCAGGGCACCCGUCGUGGCCGUCACCAUGAUCGCCGUUGCUGCAUAAGAGACCCGGGUCGCUGCCACGGCUCCCACGCUUCCUCCACAACACGGCGAGCCACAACGCCCAAAUUAGGCCAUGGAACCGCCGGUCGUAGCCACCAAGUCCACCACCCACCUGUUAUUGUACCUACCGAGCGCAGAGCAUCAUAGUAGCGGCCAAGACAAGUAAGUGCAGCAUGCAGGAGACGUCUUCGAUCUGAGGCUCCAUGCAAUUUCUGCAUUGAUCACCACGGACCUCACACACACACCACCAGUGCCGCACAAAGUGGAGGAUCCCACCAUCGGCAGCCUUUGCCCAGUGGCAUAAGCCAGUGACGGCGAGAUGGAGACGCAGAGGAAGGGGUGCCGGCGGUGGACAUUUGUUUCCGCCCAUGCCACCUAUGGAGGCGACCAAGGUUUUAAGAGAUAAGUUUUAGGUUCUAUAGGUUGGUAGUCAAGGAGGCCUCACACUAGAGCACAUCCAAUAAUUCUUCAUUCAGUAAGACAAACUUGCCAAUGCAUGUCAUCAUCCAACUAGACAUCCAAGAUACAACCAUGAGAAAGCUGAUCAACCACGGGAAUUAUACCGCCUCGUCGGCUUACAAGGCUCAGUUCGUUGGCCUCAUCUGAUCCAAGUUGCAUGCCACGGCUUGAAAGGUUUGGGCAUCCUAAAAUGUAAGUUCUUGGCUUGGUUUGCCAUCUAAAAUAAGAUUUGAACGACAGAGGGUGCAACGUUGGGAGUGACCAAAUUGCGACCAGUGCCCUCUUUGCAACCAAGUGUAAGAAUUGGUGGCUCACCUUGUCAUCAAGUGUCGGUUCUUGCCUCAAGUUUGGAACAACGUGGUCUCUUAUAUUGGUCUUCAUGCUAGUAUGAUGCUUUGUCAUCGUAUUGAGAUGAUGAAGUCUUGGUGGAAAGAAGUCCUCCUCAAUAAUUGGCAACCGAGGAAAUCUUUACAUUCUUUGCUCCUUCUUGUUGGAUGGGAGAUAUCGAAGGAAAGGAGCACGUGUGUCUUUCAAAAGAAAGUGAGGCCGAUGGCAGUCAUUAUUCGCCUCAUCCAAGAUGAGGCGUCUCCUUGGGAUAUUAUGGGGGCUAAGCAUUUGAGUAAUGUAAUGCAGGAGAGUAAUUUGGUGCCUUUGUGGUUGUUAGUUUACAAACUUCUCUUGUUAAUCAAUAAAAAUGUAAAUAUUUUUCCUUGUUCGAACAAAAAGAGCAUAAAAUCUAUAAAUAAAAUUGACACUUGCAAUUGUGAUAUAAUCGAUAUUGCUAACUGGAUUUUUUUGAAAGUUUUGUAAAUCUCGGGCACCUCAAAUUACACCAUAUGAUUCCGAAAAUUGUUGCACACGCAAAAUAUGUGUAAUUUUAAUAAGAUAUCUGCAAAGUAAAUAAGACAUGCCCUUUUUUGUAUGGGCCGAUCCUCUCCAAAUAAUUAUCCACAUACUAACUUUUUUUAUUUCCAUUUUUUCUAUCAGGCUCAUUCCACCAUUUCAUCAAUUUAUAUGUGGCAUAUAGCAAUUUUGUGAGAGUAUCAGGCUUAGUUGGAAAUUUUCUAACCGAUAGAUUCCUGAGAUACUUUGAGAUUCCUUAGAUAAUUGGAUAUUCUAGCUAUUUUUCCGAUCUUGGCAAAUUUUAUCUUGUUUCAGAGUGUUGCAUUUUUUUGUUUCAAUGCGUAACAUAAUGGAAGUAAUGUUCCAUUACAAGUAAUGCUACAUCUACAAAGGUUUACUUAAAGAUUUUACCUACAAACUGAAGUGGAGGAUUGUGAUUGAUAAUAGGAGGAUGAGGGGGGACCACCCCACUUAAAAUCAGCGGGGAGAGAGAGAAUUAGUUUGGAAGGUUAAGUAAAACUUUAUAGGUCUAGCAUUAUUGGCUCCAUUAUGUACCAACAAAAACCUUAUCUGAAACAAGUUCAUUUUUAUUUGUUGGUACACGAAAAAACAUUAUGAUGCAUUUUGAAACAAGAUAAAUAUUUCAAUACAAUUUUGGUACUCUUGAACAACACGAAUUUUGCAAACAAACAAAAAGGUAAGAUAAAUCUCAAAGCAAUGAUGAAUGGUGGAUGCAUGCACGGCAUAUCCAUGCAUGGUAUAAAAAUGACACUAGGUUGACUUCUAAAUAAAUAAUGCUUCCGUGCACAUGAGUGUCGUGUUUCAUUAAAAAAGUAAAGGUAGUAGAUACUACUUUCAGUGUGUGGUGGUGUGUUCAAUUGUAUUUCAAUGGAAUGCUAUGCCAUAAUUAAUUAACUUACAAAUACUUCCCUUGCAGAGGAAAAUCUGGACUGACGCGGAAGACAUCAAGCUGAUCGAGGCGCAUCAGACGUGGGGGAACCGCUGGUCGGUGAUCGCCCGGCUACUCUCCGGUCGGCCGGAGAACGCCAUCAAGAACCACUGGAAUGCCACCAAGCGCAGUCUAAAUGCGAAGCGCCAGAUCAAGAAGAGGAAUAGCAAGAAACCACCUCCCGGCCAGCUCUGCCUUCUUGCGCAGUACAUCCGCAGCGUGGAGCCGCACACCGGAUCACCCGCGGAUACACGUUCGGUGUCCCCACCAUUGUAUCAUGACCAAGAGCACGGUGGGCAGACGGGGAUGGCCGGUAGAGAUACUGCCGUCGUCAUCGCCCCUACCGAGCAUGCACACCUGACCUACCCCAAUCCGGCAAUGAUUGGUAUGUACUACCACCUGAACCCGACAAACAUGCACUACUGGGCACCAAAUUUGAAUGCCGCUGAUAGGCAAAAUGAGGGGUACUCGUACUGCAUCCCUCCCAAUGCGCACCUGAACAACUGCCUGCCGUACGGCUUGUCACCAACGCAGAUGGUUAGUGAGCAAGACAUCCAGCAGGCGGCCAAUGCGAGCAUAAACAUGUAUGCGUUCACUGGACAACGUACCCUCCCGGUAGUGGUAGAGAUGCACCGUGAGUCUGCCGCCAACAACCAACUGGGCAAUGUGGGUGGUGGAGCUGGAGGCUGGUCCUACUACUACGACAUGGACGCGGCUGGUUCGAGUGGCCUUGCCAGAGGUAGUGGUAGCGGUAGCGACCCUGAUGACAUCGACAUGGUGCAGAUGGCCUUGAGGGAGUUUGCCAUGCGGGACCAGUAGGUGGUCACCCUCAAUCAACUGGCUAGAUUCAAGUGAGACAUAUAUGUCCCCAGAGGAUUUCAUGUCUAAGGAGAACAAUGUGAUUGUAAGUGUGUUGUGCUUAUGUAGUUUGUUUGAUUUGAGAACUUCAUAAAGGUAAUUUAAGUGGUCCAUCUGGGGAGGUACGUUACUUUGUUCACAUUUGCUAAUCCUCGGGAAAUUGUUUCAGUAGAUUUUGGUAGAGAAGAGGUAGAAAAACGAGGGAAUGUCAAAUGUGAGACUACCAGCGACGACGUCUCUAAUGUGCCUGAGACGGAAACGAUGCUGCUGGCCUCGGCAUCUCCAUGGAGGACUAACAGAGGGUUGAUAGGUUCAGACUGAGAGGUGUGUGGUUGUCGAUGGAAUAUAUGGCAUGGUGGAUGGGAAUUAGAGGGAAGUCAUGAGCGGUGGCAAAUCAGACAAGAAAGGGUAGUGAGGCAACAUGCGAAAGCGUUGUUAGUUAGGUUGGAGGCGGCGGUGCUGUUGACGAUACGAAUGGGUCAGUUGGAAGAGGAAACCACUAGUGGAGGAAGAAGUGUGGCCAGCAAAUCAACUAAAACAAAAAAUAAAUGUUAAUUAGACGAUCCUUACUUUGUUGUACUAGUUGAGACACACUUGAAGUUCACAUGAUAGAGUUGAAUACGUGCAGUUGAAAAAAAUAGUUGUGUCCCAAACAUUGCAAUUUAUAUAGUAGCUCGAAUAGACGACACAGUUUAAAAAGUGCAAUUGAAACACGUGAUGCAGUUGAAACAUUGUUGUUGAACAAGCGAUAUAUGUAGUUGAAACACAUGAUAAAGUUGUUAAAAUGCUAUUGAAUCAACUACAUAAAGUGUACACUAGUUUCUUACCAACUAAACAUUUACGAGUUAGCAUCUUGCUUGUGCAUAUACUUACGAUCUGCAUCUUUUAGAAAUUUGGUGAAGCCAUAUCAUUAUUAUUUUUCACUUUUUUUGCACAGAGCGGCAUCUUGUUGACAAUACCCUUUAUCUUCUCCAUUGUUUCCCUACCUCUUCAUUUUUUCUAGUUCCACUCGCUCAAGGGAUCAAUAUGCAUUGAUGGAUUUUGAUGUUAUCUUCAUAUUCUGCAAACUCGAGUGGUCAAUAGAGCGAUGCAUCAUAGCAUCUGCUCUCUCUUUCAUGCAAGGAGCUACUCCAUUCCUAUUAUAUCUCUCCGCAAUAUAGCUUUAUAUUUGUGGCACUUCCCAUGCCUCUGAUUUUUUUUCUUACUAAAAGUGCCUCGAUUCUCUUACGCUUACAUAAUCACUAUACCGCAGUUCACCAUGAGGCCUAUGUAGCAUCAUAAAUCAAGUGAUAAACAAUGUCAAUGUUGGAUUUGAUGUGUGCCAAGCGACAAUGGUGAUUGCACUUUGCAAGACUCCGCUCAUAACGGUAUCACUACAAAAAAACAC
rnacentral:lncRNA from 1 species